CUUCAAUAUAACUUCAUCACUAAACACAAGUAAUCAUAACUGAAGUAAAGAUUUGAGAUGAAAAGACUUACCCCAAUAUCCUUCACAAGCCAUCAUCAAGGUUUUACCAUCAACCAUUCAAUUCAACCAAAAAAUGGGUGUAAUAUCACCACACAAUAGUAAUCAACACAAUAAUUAGGUCCAUUGAACCACAGUAGAACAAUGCAUCACUAGUUCAUAGCCUAGGGUUAGGGACAUAGGUCAAAUUCAUGAUCUACUUCACAACAUAGGUAAAUUAAUCAAGAACUAGUAUAAUUGAAUUAGCAUACAUCAUAGUCUACUCAUAAGUAUCUAAAUAAAUCAUAAACAAAGCAAUGUAGAAAUUCAAAUUCGUAAAGAAGAAAAGCCACUUGAAAACUUUUUCUUUUUUUUAAAUCAAUUUGGAGGAACCCUUUGGGGAAAGACAUCCCAAAGGUGAAACAAAUCUCAUACAUAGUAAUUUAUGAAGUUUUAUGGAGUAAAGAAAUAUUAUUUCUGCCCUAGAACCCUCCUUUGCUUGUUCUUUUAUGGAGCUUCUUUGGGAGAACGGAAGAACAGACAAGGAAGAGCAAUUGGGUUUUGGGAAUUAUAAGAGUUGGGUUUAGUUUAAUUAGGCUAGGUCUUUAUAUAGAGGUCCUUAAUUAACAUAAUUAGACCUCUCUUAACUCCUCACUAAUUAAACAACUACCUAAUUAAUUCAAUUAAACUAACUAAAAUGAGGCAGCAAAACAGUGGUCUGACCUACAAGACUCCGAUUGACGGGCUGUAGGUCAGUCGACGGCGAGUGUGGCCUCUGUGUUGUACAUUUGUGGUUUGCGAAUGAGAUUUCUCCAGACGUGUACUUGGACGAAAUGUCUAAGUGUUGGAUUAUUAAGGAAUCCACGCCACGUCGAUACAACCACGCCUCAUCGACUGGUGGUCGUAGGUGCACUUUCCAAUUGACAGCUUUUUACCAAAUUGCAAGUGUCCUCCUCAAGGACCCUUUAGUUGGUCCUUGGAGUGUCGUACCUAGAAGUUUUGACUAUGAACCAACUCUAAUACUCUUUAGAAACCUUGCCACCAAAUUUCAUUGAAUUCCAACUCCUAAAACUUAGUCAAAUUGGCUAAGUCACACUAGCACCUCUUGAACUAGUUUUCGGACAUCAUGGACGUUCCUUGACGUUUUGAUCCUGAAACUUCCUAAAUUUCUUAUUUACAUUAUAAUUUACUUUAAUAAAGUGUUACAACUCUUAUAAUCUCAUGUUAGGUUCUAGAUUAGGCUUUAGACUUUUAGAGUAUUACUUAUCCCCCUUAUCAACAUUCGUCCCGGAAUGACACUAAAAUUAUUUAAAAAGGAAGGAAUAGAAUCAAGACUAGCAUCUCAAGAAACAACAUAUCAAAACAUGAGUUUCAUUCAAAAUUGACAUAAACACAUGAACUUUUACACUAUGAAACUCAAGACAUCAUUUUCAACUCAUAAGAGUUCAACAUUCAUUUAAUUCUUAUUCAUUAUGCCAAUGAUUUCUUCAACACAUAUAAACAUGAUCAAUACAAUUCUUGAAGGCACAAUAUACUAAAGUCCACCACAUAAAUUCAAAUCAUGUAAAAGAGCAUUUUCUUGAAAACAUUCAUCUAAAUAGGCAUAAUUCACUUUAACCUACUAAAACAAAACAUAUAGUUCAACAUGUUACAAAAAAUAAAGGCAACUUCAAAUAAACUCAUUAUUUUCACUAUAAAUAAGAACAACUAACCUUAGUUAUCGAAUAGAUGAGGGUCCUCAUGUCGUCCUCGGCCUCCCAUAUUUUACCAUCACCUUGGUGGUUCUUCCAUAACACCUUUACUGAAGCCACUUCUUUGUUCCUUAACUUUUUUACUUGUCUAUCAAGGAUUUCGAUUGGAACCUUCUCAUAGGAGAUAUUAUCUUAAAAACCUAGACCUUCAAUAGGAGGAAUAAACACGGGAUUACCAAUACACUUCUUAAGCGUGGAAACAUGGAACACCGAAUGAAUCGAAGCUAAUUCACUAAGUAACUUCAAAUCAUACGCAACCUUUCCAACCCUUUGAAAAAUUUCAUACGGACCCACAUAACGAGGAAUCAACUACCCUUUCUUGCCAAAUCUCACCUACCCUUCUUAGGUGAAAUUUUUAGAUACACCUUAUAACCUUCUUCAUACUCUAAGUUUGUUAUCCUAUUGUCGGCACAAGACUUUUACCGUCUAUACGCUGUUUACAAGUGAUUUUCUUAUGAUAUGAACUGUAUCCAAAGUCUUAUAAAUUAAUUCGGGACCCAAAAGUGAAGACUCACCCACUUCAAACCAUCCAAUUAGAGACCUACAUCUCAUACCAUACAAGGCCUCAAAAAGGUCCAUGGAUAUGGAUGAAUGGUAACCAUUUUUUGUAAGAAAACAUAACCAAAGGAAAUUCAUUAUCCCAAUUUCCCUUAAAAUCAUUUAUACAAGCCUAAGUAUAUCCUCAAAUGUUUGUAUAGUACGCUCCGCUUGACCACCCUUUUGGGGAUGAAAAGUGAUGCUUAACUUCACCUUGGUACCCAACCCUUUUGGAGUGACCUACAAAACCUAGAUGUGAAUUGUGAACCCCUAUAUGAUAUGAUGGAUCACGGAACACAAUGGUCGACACAUAAUUACAUCUAUGAAGAUCCUUGCAUAAUCCUCCGCCGAGUAUGUGGACUUAACGGGAACAAAAUGAGCAGAUUUGGUUAAUCUAUCCACAACCACCCAUAUGGAGUCAUGUUUCUUUUGUUUCUUAUACUUGUUUUAUGAAGUUUUAUUCAAAAGAGCAUAAAAAGCAUGUUAUAAAGUAAAUGUCCAUUUUACCAUGGUUUUUUGCAUGUUCCCCAUAUAUAGUGCAUUCAAUGUGCUAAUUCCAUAAGUUUUUUUUUAUUUCUACAAGUGUAGCUGGCAAGUGAGGAGUCCUCUCUUAAAGACAAAUCUUGGGAAUGGCAUUCUCUCAAGAAGACUUGGUAUGUCCUCAUAUUAUUUGAGGACUUAGUUAUGUUUAGUUUUUUUUUCAAAAUAUAUUUUAAUAUACUGUAGUUUUCCUUUAACUUGAUGUAAGGGCAGUGACCCUAAGAUUUAUAGGUGUCUAAGAUGGCUAUGACGAGAUUUAGUCUUUCUUAUGUUUCUAUAAAAGAGUUUGACUGUUGUUGUGAAAAGUUUUAAUUUCACAUUACUUUUCUAUAUAUGUAUAUAUAUAUAUAUAUAUAUAUAUAUAUACAAUGAAUGGUGUCUUAGGGCAUGUAUAAGACCUUUAAGAGGUCGAGUACGCCGUGUGGCGACUUAAGGGUGAUCUAAACUCAAAGGUAUACUUUUGGGUCGUUACAUAUUUCCCUUUUCUUCCCCAACUUCUUCUGCUCUUUCUCCAUAAUCAACAACUUUAUUUUUUUCGUUUUCUCUUUCUUAAUAUUCUUUUUGAUAUGACCUUCAUAAUGAACUAGGUUAAACUCUAGAUUCACUAGUGUUUUAAUGGCUGCUAAUUAGAUAAAAUAAUGUGUAUAUGAGUCUUGAAGUCAGUCCGGUUGAGUUUGAAGUUAACCGUCAAUCAAUGACCAAGACACUCGACGACUAUUCAACCAUGUGCUUGUGUAUGUUCUGGUGUUCCUUUACAUGUUUCAUGAGUUUUUUGGUGCCUAAAUUGAUAUGAGAGUACCCUAAGACCUAGAUAAAAAUGUUUAGGGGUUUAACGUCCGGGUAUGACUUCAGGCUAGGACUCACGAGAAGACCUAGAGGAGGACCGCAUCUCCUACCCUAAAAGAUGGUAAAAGCCUCAUUGGCAGCGUCAAACAACUAACCAAACGACAGCUCGUCCACAUGGUUCGUCGAUUGGACCUAUAGGCCUAUAAAUUAUGAAGUUGUAGACCCAAACCAUGAACCCCCAUUGAUGGGGAGUCGUCCAAACGACGUUCUAUUAUCGUGGGUGACAUUUUGGGGCCUGCAAUCUGCCUGCCAUUUGGCCAUGCUUGGGGUUUUUUGGUAAAUUCACCCCAAGUAUUUUAAUGUUUGGAUAUGGGUUAAUUGGGUAUUUUUAGAUUAUUAAAGUGAUUAAAAACCUCUUUUAAACCCUAACAGCUAAAUCAACACCCUUCGCUUCCAAAGUUUCCUCCAAAAACCUCCAUGGAAACUCAAGGUCAAGAUGGAUCUAUUAUUGUGGAUUUUGAUUGAGUUCUUAUUCAAUUCUCUUGGGGAUUAUUCUAAUAAGGUAUGGGAUAUAUUUAUCUAAGGAUUUAUAUCACCUUAGGUCCAAUUUCAAAGUUAUUUCAAAGUUUAUGCAAAAAGUCCAAAUUUGUACUCUAAAGUCAUAGGUUCUUGCCUGAAACAAUUUCAAAUAUUUAGAUAUGAUUUAUUUGAUGUAUAAUUGAUGUUUUCCAGUGAAAAUCUCCAUGAACUCUUGAUCCUCUCAAAUCUUUAACUUUGGCUAUAAAGUGGGUUAAUUGCUUAUGAUCUAAUGAUGAUAGAAUUGAGUUUAGAUUAUCUUGUAUUGUUGAUUUUUGUGAUUAAUUAUGCUAUUAUGUUUGGAAUUGUUGGAGAUAUUGAGGAAUGGUUAUCUUGUCUAUUGGAAGAAUAUAAGUUGACCUAAUUCCUUUAGAUAAUGUAGAAUUGAGAUAGAAUUGCCAUAGAUUUAUAUAUUCCACUUUUGGUGGCAGUGCUUAUGUGUAUAAUAUGAUUAUGAUCAUGUCCUAGUUGGCAUCAUUAUGUGAGUUAUAGUAGUAUCAUGUUAGAUUUCAUGUGAAGGUAUAAUGUGAAGAUGCUUAUGUGAAGUAAUGUGAUAAUGUAAAAGAUGUUAUGGCUUAUAUGAAUAUAUAAAGUUAAGGAUGUGUGACAUAUGUGUGAUCUUGUAUGAGCGCUAAUGUUAUGAUCCUUCUCUAAUUGAUGAUAUAUGAUGAUGGAGGAAUAAGAAGAGUCUUAUGUGAUAAUGUUGUAUAUGGUGUGGUAGACAUAGUUUCCCUACUUUGUACUUGAAUGAAAUUGAAUAAGUGAUAUGAUGAAUGUUGUGUCUUGAUUUGGUAGACCUAAGCCCCUCUUCUUUCUACAUGAAAUUUAUGUGAAUAUGUGAUCUCUUGACAUUGUAGGCUUUGAAACCCUUAUCAUGUAUGUGAAUGAAUGAAAGAAUGAAAGUCUAGGAUUCGUAUACCUUAGAUGGUGCCUUCUAAGAAUGACUAAUAUGAGACCUUGAAUCUGAAAAGAAGGUCAUGUAAGAGUAACCUUUAAUAAGAAGAGAAGGUUAAAAUUAAAGCCUUAAAGUUCAAGAGUGUAAUGGUGUAGAUUGGAUGGAAUGGCAUAAAACCAUCUCUAAGUAAGUCAUAAGAUCUAUCAUAAUAAGCUUUGGUUGGCAACCCUUGUGGUCCCAUCCUUGGAAAAAAAGUAUUAUGAGUUGGUAGGACUAAGUAAUUACUAUAUGAGAAACAAGGCAAAGCACCGAGCGGAUAUGUUUGUGGUAGUAACUCUACUUUAGAUGAGACUAUAAUACAAAAAAAACCCUUUAUAUCCCUUAAACAUGUGCCAAUAUGGGAUGUGUCCUAGUUCUACCCUUUGUAAGUAACACCCUCCCCUGGAGUAGGGUAGAUUUCGGAUUUCAUACCUAACUAGUAUGGUUUAUGUCAGUUAGUGUAUGUUCUCAUCAUAUGGGAUGUAUACUAUAAUUAUUGGAUAAGUUGUACAACAUGUGGGUUGUGGCAUAGAACGUUGCCUAAACAUUGCACGAGUACGCUUUUAUGAUGCUAGGUUUUUCCCUAGGUCUUUCAAGACCAUUAUGUAAAGUCCUCUAAUUGGUUACUUGUCUCUUUAAUGAUUUUAAUGAAUAAGGUUCUCUUAAAUGAAAGUAGACUCUCUUAAAGUAGUAUGUUGACUAGAAAGGUUCUUAUCUAGGGUAGCUUUGAGGAUUGCUUAGGUAGACUUGAAGAGGGUGUAUGGGUGGUCUCUUCAUGUUUUACUUAGGUGAUUCUUUGAGUAACCCAAGAUAGAGAGUCUAAAUCAUGUAAAGGUUAUCUUAUUUUAAUAUGGAACUAAGUUAUAUGACAUGGAAAGGAAUAUCUUUACUUUGGAUAGGCUUACGGAUUACUUAGGUGUUCUUGAAGAGGGUGUACGGGCGGUCUCUUCUUGUCUUAGUUAAGUUAGUCUCAGGAUAACCUUUAGUACAAGGGUAUAAAUGCUUAUAUGAAUUCUAUGUGAUUAUGGAUAUAUCUUGUUAAACAUGGAUUAUUUCUUAUAUGUGGUACUUGACUUGUAUUAUGUGUCUUAAACUCUUUUUAUGAUGGUUGUUUUAAUGGUUUUUGCAUGGCUUUACUACUUAGUGCAUUCAAUGUGCUAAUCUCUUCUUUUCCUUUUUUUACAAUAGUGUAGGCAUUGGAAAUCUUGAUAUGUCAUAAAUGAUGGAUAGGUUUCUAAAGGUUGAAGAUGAAGUUUCGAUGAGUCCUAGAGAUUAGAGGACAAUAACUACAUGUUCCUUUUAUGCUUUUUGUCUUUAUUUUAUGUCUUGUAUGGUCUUAGUCCCAAUAUUAUACAUUCAAAGUAUUAGAUUUUUUAAUGAGAUAUUAUAAAGGCAGAAUGUUUUUAAAAUUCUUCCGCUUGUGUAUUAAUGAAAGCAAUAUUUAUGUGUAAAGAAAGUUUUAAAUUCUUACCUAUUUUGGGAGUAUAUUAUGCAAUGAUUGACGCAAGAGGCCUGUGUCAGACUUCUCAGAGUCUCAUACACAAGUAACUUCCAGGGGGUACCUUUGGGUCAUUACAAACUUGGUAUCAGAACAUAAGAUUUGGGAGUGUCUCAGAUAGUCUCAAAUACCACAUCUAGUAGAGUCUUGUUUAUAAUGUGAAGCGAUCCACAUUAUUAAUAGAAGGAUAUUGGGUGCUAAGAAUGUUUCACUUCUUCAUUCUUCUAAUCGUGCCUAAGAGUUUCUCUUGAUGAUGUCUUUCCCUUGUUCCUUCUAUGAUGGUCCUUAGAGUUUGGCCUUUGAGAUGUUUGGGUUGAAGGAGAGAAAAUGAUUAUGUGUGACUUGUUAGAUGGAAUAUGGAAGGUUAUGUUGAUUACAUUAAGGUUGAUGAGUUACCUUAUGAAUGUGAGUAUUGUUGCUAGAUCCCGGCUUUAAUAUGUUAUAUUUGGGUGGGUUGAAAUAAAUGAUGUAAUGUGAUGUUAGAAAUAUGGAGGAGUUAUACUUGAGAUGGUUUUGAAGUUUUUUUGAUCCGACCUUAGAAAGGAAGGAAGUGAUGUUUGAAAGAUCUAGUUUGAGCUUGUCCUAGUGGGAGGUGUUGUGGCUAGAUGAAGAGACUUUUGAGAGUAUUUGGUUUUCAUGAGAUAAGCUUGACGUUUUUGUUUCUAUAUGUUCAGUUUAUUAAAAAGAAGGGUGAAAAUGGUGUUGGUAAGGUUGAAGAUUCAUUGAGGGAUAUCCUUAUAGUAUGUUUAUGUCGACCUUAGAUGGGUUUAUCCUAUAUGGGGGAGUAUGGUCAAUAAUAAAGAGGUUUAUGCUAGUGAGAUAUCCUUAUCUAUUCCUUAUGUGCCUUUUAGAGCCUAAAACUAAAAGUUCCUUGUAUCUUUAUUUGUGUUGGAGUCCUUUGUGAAAAAAUGAGUUUCCAAAUAUUUUCUUAUGAUAUGCAUCUUUUGGUUGAACACUUGUUAAAUGAGAAAAUGAGUUUUCAUGUGUUGUAUUCCCUCAUGUUCAUGUGCAUUUAGGUUAGAUUGUCUAAUUUCCUCAUGAGAAGAAACAUUGAGCAUGCCUAAAUUGUUAUAUAAGAUUGAUUUGUUCAGCAUGCCUAAGGUGUUACUAAAAAGUUACAUGUUGAGCCUUUGUGAGAAAAUUUCAUAAAUGUACCAUAUUCAAAAUUUUGAAUACUUAUGUUUUGAUGAGAAACUGCAUGAUGUGCUAUAUAAUGUUUAAAUAAGCAUGACAUAAUUUGGAUAAGGAAGUUCCUCCAAUAUCAUGAGAAAUGGUAAGGAAUGAUGCAUAAGGAGUUGGUAGAUGUAGGUCAAUAUGCUUGAAUUGCAUGAAGUUUUUUUGAACCUUUAUGUUUUCGAGUGAUGUUCCUCCUAACUAUGUGUAUGGUGUAUGAUAUUGUAUGCAAGAAUUUGGGUUGUUUGCUAUGGUUGUUUUCCCUUUACGUGUUUAGUGUCAUUCUACGACGAAUGUUCCCAAGUGGGGGAUAUUGUUACGACCCUCAUAAUAAAAUAGUUUGAAAAAGAGCUUCACUAGUAUUUUAAGGGAUGCUAAUUAGUAAAAUUAAUAUGUAUAUGAUUUUUGAAGUCAGUAUGGUUGAGUUUGAAGUCAAACAUCAAGAAACGGCCAAGACUUCCGACAACUAGUCACCUAUGUGCUUGUCUGUGUUCUAGUGUGUCUUUGAAUGUUACGUGAGUUGUUUGCUGUCAAAAUUGAUAGGAGAGGACUCUAAGACCUAGAUAAGAAUGUUUAGGGGUUUAACAUCUGGGUACGACUCCACCUAGAACUGACGAGGGGCCCUAGAGGAGUCCCCAUUUCCUAUCCUAGAAGAUACUAGGAAUCCUCCUGGGAAGUGUCAAACAACGAAAAAAACAACGUCCAGUUUUUCAAAUGCUGGCUCGUCGACAUAGUCUAUCGGUAGGCCUACAAAUUAUGAAGUUACAGAUUGUAAAGACCCUCAAAAUGAAUUAAGAAUAUUAGAGACUCACAUGAGUAUGAAAAGGAUUAAAAUAUGUUAAUUAAAUGUUUUAUAGUAUGCAUGCAUGAUUUGAAGUCAUUUGGAGGUCAAACAUCCAAGAUCGUCCGAUGAUGUUUGAAAGUUACCCUUGAGACGUGCAUGUGUGUUUGUUUUUGUUUAAACUGAUAUGAAAGGUCCUUAAAAUUUAUAUGAGUGCAUUUACAUUGGAAACUCCUGGGCACGACUCACUGAGGGCCCCAUAAAAAUCCUCAAGAAGGACCCAAAGUCUACCUAGACACUGCCUUGGAAAUGUCUACCUACGACAUGAAAACAACGACCAGUAGGGGUGGUGAAGCCCCAUUGAUAGGUGGGAGUUGUCCCGCACUUAGCUGGGGAAAGCUCAUCCAAAGGACAACCCUCAAGCUCAAACGAUGGUUUCCACCCACGGCCCAUCAUUGGGCCUACUGGGCGUCGAUGGCUGUCCGUCGAUGCAACUAGUGUCAACUGCCAGGCGCACUGUUAAGUGAAUGGGGUAAAUCGUAAAUUCACUCCACGUCCUAACCUGACCCUAGGUGUUUAUUUUAAUUAUUUUUGGGUAUAAUUAGUUCCUUAAAAAGAUCAAAACCCCAGAAUCAAUUGAUAUUUCAAAAUUUGACUUCCCUCUCCAAAAGAAACCUCUUUAGAAACCUCCAUUAGAGAUGAAGCUCAAGAACAUCUAGGAGAUUGGAUUCACAUGGACUCUUCAUGAAUAUUUCUUGGUUUUCUUCUACAAUGAGGUAUGGUGAUCCUUCAUCUUUAUAUAAUCUUCCAUCUAAAGAGCUCUUUCCAAUGUUUUCAAUGAGAAUACCUUUUAUCUUUCAAUCUAGCCAUGGGUUCUUUCUCAAAACUAUUUCAAAAAAAUGCUUAAUAUGAAGUAAUGAUUAUAUACUGAUUUUCAUUUUGAAUUAAAUCCAAUUUCCUGAUGAACCCAUGUUUUCUCCAAUCCUCAAAUUAGCCUAUAUUAUGGGCAUUGUGAUCUUGACUUUAUCUUGAAGGAAUUAUGAUUCUAGCAUGUUGAAUUGCUUUUAUAUACUGUAUAUUAUGUAUAUUGAUGGUGAAAUAUGUGUAAUUAAUCAAUGCGGAUCAAGGUGUGAAGAAUUGGUAAGGAUUGAUAUAUGUUCUUCUACUUUCUAUAGAUUGCUAGAGUACUGAAUUCAAUGUGAUUUCGAUCCUAUGGUAAUUGAAGCAUGAUUUCUUUAUGUCCAUGAUAUAUUUAGCUACUAACAUGUAUAGGUAUUAUUUAUGUUUAUGAGAAUUCAUCAUUGAUGAUCAAAGCAAGAGAGAUUUUGUAAGAUUUCUCUAUUCCUUUACUUUUCUAUAGUAUUGCUAGAAGAAUUGGCCUUCUAUGGCAUUGUGUGGUAUGGUCCACUUAUGGUGGCGUUUUUUACUUUAUUGUAAAUCCUUAUGUUAUGUGAUAAUGGCCUUGAAGGAAAUUGUAUUUUGAAUGAGUGGUGAUGAUGAUCACUCAAUGUGAAGAUUAUGCCUAGUAUUUCAUUCUAGUUAUGAUCUAGGUUUUGUGGCUAAUGUUAUAAGCAUGUGAGUGACUAUGUUAGGGUUAGGUUUAGAUGCUUCCGUUGAUGAUUUAUAAUGUUUAAUGACCACCUUACCUAUGUACCCCUACAUAAAGGUGUGAUUAGCUAAUGUUAGGAGUCUUGAAUGUAAAGGUUGAAGUUGUCUUGUCUCCUAUGCUAUUAUGUGUUGUGUGGCCAAUGCUUGAAUGUGCAUUGUGGUAUUUAGAGAAUAUCUUAAUCAAAGUGUUAUUGAUAGCCAUUGUAUGAUCAUAUUGACCAAUGUGCACACACUUACCCCUCAUGCAUGUUUACAAGUAGUAUAGGUUCAUGGUGUCUAAUGAAAGGGUAUUCUCAUACGUACUUGUGUCUACUACUAUGCAUGUAAAAUAUAUGUCUAUGGAGUAUGUUACGUAUCCCUUAACUACGAUUAUUGUAUAGGUGUACAACUAUGGAUGAGGGUAUGAGACCUUUUCUACGGAUUGCGCAUGUGUGCCUUCAUAGGAUAGUUGCUAGAUUUUAAUAUAUGUACUUGAAUAUGAAUGCAUAAGAAUGUUAUGAAUAUGAAUUGUAUUCUACAAUGUCAAUUAUAUGCUAUGAUGAAGUUUGAACUAUGUAUAGUGUCUAAAUAUGUUUACAUGAAAGGAUUUCUCAUAUAGUUACACCUUUAUAAUUAUGCAUGAAUGAAAUAAAUUAUGAACAAAUCUAGUAUGAGGGUGUCGAUGUGAAAGGUUUUCUAACAUAUAUGUAUACACACACACAUGAAAACAUAUAAUUAUUCAUGCAUUAUGAUCUACUUAAUAGAGAGGAUCUUGAAAGAUGUUCUCAAGGGUAUCCUAAUCUAGAUGUUGCUUGAAUAUGCAAUGCCCAUGUGAAAUGUUUCUCAUAUGAUAUAGGUUGAGGAAAGGACUUUCUCAUCUACAACCUAUGAGCUAAGCAUAUGAGGAGUCAAUCUCCUAAAGACUUAUUUUUUAAAGUAAUAAUAAUAAAGUCUUUUCAAUAGAAGGGAACUUAGCUUUGCACCGAGUGAACUUGAAGUUGAGUGGUGUCCCUUUCUAAUGUGUGAAGGUAGGUUCACCAUGAUUCUCACGAGGUAGAUAACUAAAUGCCCCAUUUGCAUAAUGAAGGGUUCCAUAUAUGAAUCUUAGUUCUAUAAAUAAUUCUUUCCCCAUAGGAUCUAGCAAGUGAUAUCACCUAACAUGCUAGCAUGAUGUUAAUGUUCUACUUUGUCAAGUUAAAGCUCCUUCCCUUGGGGUAAGUCUCUACUACACAAACUUCUAUGUUUAGCACUCAUGGUCUUAGUGUCGGUUAAAGCUAUUGUAAUACUUUUAAAGUCUAAAGCCUAAUCUAAAGCCUAACAUGAGAUUCUAAGAGAUUUAACAUCGGUUUAAAGUCAAAUAUAAUGUAUAUAAGUCAUCUAGAAUGUUUUAGAAUUAAAACAUCAAGGAACAUCCGUGACGUCUGGAAACUAUUUCAAGAGGUGCUAGCGUACCUUAGUCUAAUCUACAAGGUUUUAAGAGUUGAAAAAUUAUGAAAUUUUGUUAAAACGUGUCUAACACGUAUUAGAGUUGGUUUAUAGUCAAAAACAUGGGGUACGAAUCCCCAAGGACCAACCAAAGGGUCCUUGACGAGGACCCUUUCAUUUUGGCUAAAAGUUGUUGUCCAGGACAGUAGCCAUCGAUGAAUUGCAGGCGACGAGGCGUGGUUCAAUCGACAGGACAUCGACUGCGCCCGUCGAUGGUCACUUAUCCAAAUUUGUAAACAGGUCAGUUUUGCAAGUCUCUGACCAAAAUGACGGAUGUGUAGCACGGAAGAGGCUUGGAUGUCGGCUGACCUACGGCCUAUAGGUCGGGGUCUCAUAGGUCAGGUUUGUGCAUUACUAUUUUAUUCUAAUGGUUUCAUUUAAUCAGUUAAGUGGUCAGUUAGUUAAUUAAGGGUUAGGGGAGGUUCAAUUAUGUUACACCCUCAAAAUGAGAUAGAAAUAAAAUGACUAAAAAUAGUGUUUAAAGUGUUAAAGUUUGACAGAGUUUGGGGGUGGAAUGUCCAACAUGUCCGGAAACUAGUCGAAGUUGAACUAGUGUAUCGUAGUGUUUUAUAGUGGAGUUUUGGGGUAUUGUUUGUGGUUGGAACUGAGUUUCGACAUUUCCUACAAAUAUUCUUACAUGUAAAGGGUAGAAAUAACUUAGAAUGACGCCUGACCAAAGUGUCCUUGAGGAGGACCCAAACAUGCAUCGAUGAAGUUGCCCAAGGCAGAUAAAUUUGACAUGAAAGGAACAUGUCCGCGUCGCGGACUUGUUCCUCUCAAGGAAAAAUUCUGACUAUGUGUCGAAGUCACCAGACGGACUCCAUUUUCCUAGAAUUUAUUUUCAAAAAUCAUGCGAGAGCAGCUCCGCGUCGCAGACUUGUUUCUCGAAGACAAUUCCAAAAGUUGAAGUUAAGUUAGACUUAUUUAAAUGUGUCCAAUUGAUAUAGGGGAUGUUUGGUACUUGUUAAGUCGGUUAAAAACUUUUUUAGUUCAUAUAUAACCCCUUUCCCAAGCCAAAACCGCAAUACCCAAUAAGAAAUAAGAAAUUAAAACAUUUCUCUCCCAAAGUUCUCCCAAAAUCACAAUUUAAGAGGAAGAGAAAUUGCAGCAUCAAUUAGGACGAAUUCAUCAAUGUUUUAAGGAUUUUUUAAUGUCUUAUUCUAAGGUAUGUGAAGCUUAUUCAUUCAUGGAUUCUUCCAUCCAUGAAGCCCCCCUAGUUUCCCUUUAAUUGUGAAUCCAAAGAACUCUAUUUAUGAGAGGGUUGUGAUUGUAUUGUGGGUAAGGCUUGAUUGUGAUCCCAAUCUAGUGGGUAGCAUUCAAUGAUAUCUAUAUGAUGACUAUAUACUGUUUUAUGAAGUUUUCAUGGUGAAUAUUAGUUAUUGAAUUUUAAGAGGAUCAUGGUGAUCUUAGGCUAUUAAAGACUAGAUGAAGGACUUGUGUUGAUUCUUAUUAACAUGAUUUCAUUCUAUAUUAAUUGAUCAUGAUUGAAUCAUCUAAGCAUGAAUUGGACUAGGUUUUAUGAAUUGGGAUUUGUCUUGAUUGAAUUGAACCCUAAAAGUAUGAAUUAUGGCUAUAUUAACCUAGUAUUGAAGAAUGUGAGAAGAAAGCUAAGGCUUAAAGUCUAUAAUAUACUUAUGAAUGAAGAUAGAAUUAAUUGAUUAAUAAUGAACAUUAGGAUGGUUGUGUUGGCAGUAGAUUUAGUAUGAUUUAUUGAAUGUGAUAGAAUUCACUUGAACAUGGAGAGAUUGUCUAGCACAUCUCUCCAUGACAGAAGGUUGAGCAAGGCUUGACAAGUAAACCUUGGAGUAUAUUAUUGAAUCCAACUUGAUAUGUCAAGUGAUAUGAAUAGUCCAGCAAUGGUCUAGGUGCCAAGUACAAAGGAAGCCACACCUAGUAUUUGUGAUGGCUAUUCCAUUAGGUCUCAUGAGGCACGAGUCCUUCACGUAGUAAACUUAAGGUAUCCUAGUAGAAAACUCCAUAUUCUAUGAACUUAUACAUGCUUGAGAAGCAUCUCGUAGUGUUCAUAAGAAAUGAAUGAACUUAGAAAUACCCAAGGGGUAUCUCGUAGUGUUCAUAAUGUAUGAAUGAACUUAGACAUGCCCAAAGGUUAUUUCAUAGUUUUCAUAAGAAAUGAAUGAACUUAGACAUUCCCAAGGGGUAUAUCGUAGUGUUCAUAAUGUAUGAAUGAACUUAGACAUGCCCAAAGGGUAUCUCGUAGUGUUCGUGAUUAAGGGAUCAAAGACACACCUUAAAAAGUAUCUUGUAGGAUCCAUAUGAUUAAGGAACUUAGCCAUACUUAAAGAAGUAUCUCAUAGUGUUUAUAAGACAAAGAUAGGCGCUAGGAUCCUUAGUAUGAAGAAAUAAAGAAAGGAUCGAAAAGUAGUACCUUGCAUGAAUGGUGUUAUGGGUCACCAUGAGUGCAUUGCACAAGGUAUAACAUAGGAUCACUAAUGAAGAAGACAUUGAAUAUAGGAUUUAACUAGAGUUUCCUUUCCUAGUAUAGUAGAUUAAAUAUGAGAGAAUCUUAGUAGAUGAAAGUAAUAAAGAGGCUAUGGAGGGUGAACUUGUUAAGGAUGGUUUUCAAGAUAGGCUUAGUAUGUAGGGUAAUAUGGGCUUGAUUAUGUACAUUGCACAAGCAUGUUUUGAUAUGAACAUAAAAGUAUAGUACUCUUUAGUAUGAAGAACAUAGGUCUUAAUUAUGAUAGUGAUUUAUAAUAAAGAAUGACCAACUAGAGGGAUUUAACUUUGUUAUUAGAAUGGGAUGCUACAUUAACCUUGCACAAGUAUACAUGGAGGGAGCUUGUGGUACAAUUCACUUGAGUUAGAAGGACAAGUAAGUAAGUAAGUAUGAACUAUUAUAUGAUUGAUAAUGAUUUAUUAUGUUUAUGAUAGUCAUGUUAUGCUUAUGCUUUUAUAUCUUAUGAUUAUUCCUAUUAUUGACUAAUCCUUUGAGAUAUCGUAUGUUUAAUAUGAUAGUUUUCAUAUUUAGUACAUAUCGUACUAAUUAAUAUUGACUACAUGUUGUCCAUGUAGGAUCUUGAUAAGAUUUAGUUGCUUGAUGGGUAGAGUUCCAAGGUCUCCAAGAAGAAAAGAAGUGGUGAGUCCUCAUAGCUUUGAGAACGAACAUUUAUGUUCCUUUAUGUAUUUAUUUAUAUAAUAGAUUUUAUGUGGGUUACGUCCCAAAAUAUUUCAUUCAUGUCAAAAUUUAGAUGGUUUUAAUACAACGCUAUGAGAUAGGCUUCCGCUUUUAUGAAAGACCUUUUGGUUUAUGUUUUAAGAAUGUUUUUAAAUUCCAUCCUUUUAUGCAUGAUGUCAUGUAAUGAAGCUAAGUGUCUUGUAUAAGACCUCCGAGAGGUCGAUUAAGCGGUGUUGCUACCCAAGUGUUUCCCUUACUUCUAGGGUCUACUUGUGGGUCAUGAUAAAUUAAGUUAAUUAAGGACCUCUAUAUAAAGAUCUAAGCCUAAUUAAACUAACUCAACUCUCAUAAUUCCCAAAACCCAAUUGCUCUUCCUUAUCUCUCUUUUUUUUUCCUCCCAAAGAAACUCCAUAGAAGACCAAGCAAAGGAGGGUUUUGGGGCAUCAAGAAGGAUACUUUUCUACAUAAAUCUUCAUCAAUUAACAAGGUAUAGGAUUCCUUUCGCCUUUGAGAUCUCUUUCCCCAAAUGAUUCCUCAAAAUUUAUUUCAAAAAAAUAGUUUCAAGAGGGUUUAUUUCUAUUACAAAUUUGAAUCUAUUAAAUUAAUUUGUUAAUGAUUUCCAUAGAUAAUUAUGAGUAUAUUAUGAUGUAUUGUAAUUCAAUUAUGCUAGUUCUUCAUGAAUUAACUUAGGUUGUGAAGUAUAUCAUGAAUUUGACUUAAGUCGCUAACCCUAUGCUAUGUACAAGUGAUAAAUUGUUAUGUAGUGAUUCAAUUGAAUUCAUUAUUGUGUUUAUUAUCAUUUUAUGAUGACAUUACACCCAUUUUUUGGUUGAACUUAAUGGUUGAUGGUAAAACCUUGGUGGUGUCUUGUGAAGAAGAUUGGGGUAAGUCUUGUGAUCACAAUCCUUUACUUAAAUUGUGAUUACUUGUGUUUAGUGAUGAAGUUAAAUUAAAGUAUACCUUAUGAUAAGAUUGAUUAGGGUUGGUAUGAUGUUGAGUUGGAAUUCAUGAAUUGUGAGUUGUUGGUUAAGAUGUAAUGAUAUAAUAAUGGUGAUGAAUUACAUAUGUGUCUUAUCAUAAUUUGAAUAUGUAUAUGUACUAACCUCACAUAUGUUAAUUGUAAUGAAAGGAAAAUACUCAUGAAAUUCCUAUUGAUCUACGAUGAUGACUAUAUAAGGGAUAGACCCUAUGACCUAAACUAAGCUAUGAUGAUUAAUAAAGACUUAAAGACAUUUCUAAAGGGACUCUAUCUUAGCACCGAGUUAAAUAGAGUAAGGAGUGUCCCUUCCCACAUAGGGAAGUUAGUAUCACUAAUGUACUCAUGAGAUUGGAGACUAUAAUGAGUGCACCAUAAAAAGGGUCACGACUUCACCUCCUAGUUCUUCAACUAUGUUUCACCCAUAAGAAUACUAGCUAGUGGAUCUAAGAUGCUAUGUUCAUGUUUUCCUACUACCUUGGAAAGUAGUCCACCUUAUUUCGGUGUAAAGUUUCAUUGACACCGGAUUCCAUAUUAGAUCAUGUGGUCUAUGUCGGUUAAGGCAAGAUUUUCCAAAAAGGUAAAAUGAUGUAAUGAAGUGAACUCUAACUAAGGUGACCUAAGGGGUUUAGCUUAGUCUAGGUAGUGAUAUGGGACCCUACCUAUACAUUGAACUAGUUAGCCUUGAGGGAAGUCUUCAAAUGAUGUUCAUAUGUGCUUAUGUGUUUACAUGCUUACAAAUGUAAAUGAUAUGUAAAUGAUGAUCUUACACGUAAAUGAUACUAUUUGAUGUUGGUAUCACUUAUGAACAUGUGGUUGGUGUCCAUUGUUAAAGUAUAAUAAUGUUUACUCUUAAUCAAAUAGUAUGUGAAGUUGGGUGUUGCAUAUAGUUCAUAUUGGUUUUACUUGAUUUAGUGAGGUUAUGGGGCCUUACUUAGUCACUACACUAGUGGACUUAAUGGGGGUGUAUGAGCGAUUUUCUUGCUUUGGCUUUGAUUUUAUGAACUCUUAUACAUGAUUGUCAAUGUUAUAACUUGGUGAUAGAGUUGUCUUGUUAUGUGCUCAAUUAUGUUGAUAUACAUGUUGACUUGACUAGACUUAGUAUUGUUGGUCUUGUGAUGUACAUUGUCUUCACUUAAUGAAGAUGUUCUAUUUACUUUUAUUGGCUCUUGGAUUUUAAUAAUGCUUUUCAAAGUAAAUGAGCAUGCUUCAAUGAAAUGUCCUUUUUUAGCAUGAUUUAUGUGUUGUAUGUGCAUAUGAUUCCAUACUAAGUACAAAUGAUGUGCUAAGCUAAUUUCUCCCCUUUUCCCCAAUAUUUUAGGCUCUGGUCGUUGAAGGGUUCGUGACGACAUUUGGAGAAGACUUAGAUCAUCAUUCUCCAUGUUGGGUAGGUCCUCACCAUUUCUAGGACAACACCAUUUUCUAGCAUUGGAUGUUGAUUAUUCUUAAAUACACUUUGUACAUUCUCUUUCAUUCGAGUACUAUGAUUAUAUAGUCUAUAUGUGGAUUUUAUUUUAUUGAUGUAUGGGUUAUUCCUAAUUGUUAUACUCUUGUCCUGAUGGUUAUGAUAUGACAUAUCCGUUUUAAGUCUAUGUUAUGUCUCUUAUAUAUGUGUGUCAUAAAAGUAGAAGACUAUGUAAUCUUCUAAGAUGAAUGGUUUAUGUAUACCCGAUAAGAAUAUAUUAUGUGUAUGCGAGAGGUCUAUGUAAACCUCAUGAUAGAUAUUAAAGAAAAGUUAUAAAUUUUCUACAUCUUUAACAUGUGAAUUUAAUGAUGAAUGCUAAGAGGCUAGUCUUAGUCCUCCGAGGAAGACAAUGCCAGUUACGUCUAGGGGGUUCUCCCCGAAUGUGACAACUAUAGUUUCCCUAACGUAAAAUGGACAAUGGAAGUUAAGUAAGGACCCCAACUAGGAAAACCUAAGGGAAGUUACUUAGUGUAGGUGAGGGUAUGGGACUUACUUAGAAAUUGCACAAGUAGCUCUUGAAGGGAGUUUUAGGAAGGUGUUUUUAUGUGUAUGAUCAUGUUUAUGUUUCCUAUGCAUGGCAUUGUAGUGUUUUUCUACUUCUUGCUAUGAUAUGCAUGUUAUAAGUCUUAAUGAGUCUAUAAAAUGUCGUCUUACUUUAUAUGCAUAAAUUAGGUCUUAUUGACGAUAUAGUGAAGGUCUUGCUUGGCAUGUAUAAAGUUGUUUAUACUUGUAUUGUUGAUGUAUCAAGUAUAUGUUAAGGCUAGUAGUCUCUUUGUAGGUUUAUUUAGUAUGUGAGGUUAUGGGACUUCACAUGUACAUUGCACUAGUCAGCUUAGAAUGAGAUUAUGUGUAGGGUUCCAUGAUGUUUUAUUAAGUAAAGUCCAAGUAUGUUGUUGACUAUUUGCUAGAAUGAUGUUGUUGAUAAUAUUGACAUAUGAUAGCUUUGAUUAAGUCUUGCAUGAGUUUUAUGCAUUAUGUUGAGUUGUAUGUGAAGUUUGUAUUACCAUGAUAUGUUAUGCCUUUAUGUAUAUGUAUAUAUGUGUGAUGAUUAGUGGAGAUUGUAUGUAUGAUUGCCUUGUGGCUUUAAGGUGAUGAUUGAGUGUGGAUAGUGUAAUGAGACAUUAUAUAUACAUUGCACCAAGCAUCACUAGAGGGUUACUUGGAAAAUUCAAGGAAUUAAAGUAAAAAUGAGAUAACUGUGAGGAGAAAAAAAAGGUUACUGUAAAUACUCUAAAGUGGUCCUAAAAAUGAUUUAAAUGUAAUGUCUGGUUUUAUGGGAAUUAUAACUAUUGUAUAUUCCUAAAUGAAGUAUGUGAAUUGUAUGAUGCUUAAUGUAUACAUUUUAAGAAGUUUUCACAAAAAGGCAUGAUGCAUGGUUUCAGGGAAAAAAUGUCCCCUUUUAAACGCAUGUUUUUGCAUGGUUGUCAUACUUACUGCAUUCUUGUACCAACACAAUUCUUAUUUACCUUUUUACACAAAGUGUAGUUUAUGGAUGCUUAAAUGAUGCCUCUAAGGUUAAGGGCUUGACAUGUGAUUCCCAAGCACAAUGAAAGGGAUCCUUAAGUUCAAGGAUUUUCUACGUCAAGUUUCUAUAAAGUCUUGUAAUAGUUUAGUUUUAUGAAUUUAUGUUGAAUGGGACGUGUCCCUAUUAUAUUCUAAUGAUGUUGAGUCUAAGAUGACAAAGAAACUUAGAAUCCUUAACAAUGUAUUAUGAUAUUUUAUAUAUAUCAUGAAAGUGAUGAUCUAGCAUAUGAAAGUUUUAAAUUUUCUGCUAAAUUUACCUAUUAUAAUGAAAUGAAUGAUAACUAUGCGAUUUUAUAAGACCUCCGAGAGGUCGAGUAUGCCAUGUCACUUCUAGAGGGUGCUCCCCGGUUGUGACAAACGUGGUAUCAGAGCAAGAUUUAUGAAAGUGGUUUUAGGGUUGAAAGUCUCAUUUUUCCACGUCUAGUAGAGCCUCAUUCAUCAGUGGUGAGUCGCGACACAUCUAUGGGUGAGAGUCUAUAGGAGGAUAGAGUUUUCCUUCUUCACAAUUCUCAUGUCGUGCGAUAGAACCUAACUAUAUAAGAUCUUCCUCUUAUGUUUUCUUAUAUGGUGGUAUUUUAGAUUUGAUUGCUUGGAUAAGAUGGUAUAUCUAUGCUUGAGAAAGAAAAGAUGAGUUUUGAUGCUUUUCUUUGUUUUAUGUUUUUAUGAGUAUGUUUGAAGGUAAAAUGACAUGUUAUGUGAGAUUUAUGCUAUGAUAUGGUUAAAGUUUGUUAUAGAAAUAGUUAUAGUUAAAUUGAGCUUUAUUUUAGAAUAAUGAGUUUCUUUAUGAGUAUGCAUGACGGUAGUAUAAUGUUGUGGUUUGAGUUGAAAAAAUUUGAAAAAGUGUGGUAAAUAACUAAAGAUGCAUGUUGCUUUUAUAUAUGUUUAAUGGUUCAAAUGUUGCCUUAUUAUAUGUGUAAUGCCUCAUACUUGCCUUGUUUGGAUUGGAGCCCUUUGUAUAGGCUUGGUCCUAGAAGUGAAGGUAGUGUGGUUACCUUGUAGGGUGUUGAUGAGAAUUAGAAUUACCUAAAAGUUACCUUACCUUAGUAUUGAAAGAAAAUAAAGAGGCCUUAUGGACAAGUCUCCUCUCUUAUUUCCCCUAAGGUUUUAUCACCCUUGGUAAUUAUGGUAUAGUUGAGACCUUAUGUGGUUAUGGUAGUAUGAACUAACUUGAAUGUCAUGGAUUUACUUUAGGUAUUGAUCUUGAGUAAUUAUGAUAGUUGAGGUAUUAGCCCUUGAUGAUUGAAUUGGUAUACUCCUUGAUAUGAGAUUAGGAGUGAGAACCCUCAAUGAUGUUAAGCCUUCUGGUGUGAGUAGAAUAUAGGUUGGUCUUGACUUACCUUGAACUUUCGGAAUGAUGUGUUAAGGCUAACCCCAAGUGGGGGAUAAUCCGCCUAGUGGUAAGAUGGUAAGUGCCCUGGAUGUUGCCAUGUUGAGUUCCUUUGAACUUCUUUAUGUGGGAAAUCACUUUUAAGUGAUGUUGAUGAAGGUUUUUCUUAAGAUAAGAUCCCAAGAUUGGGGUAAUGUGCUUAGUUGUUGAAGUUGAUAAGUUAAAGUUCUCCUAAGGUGGAGUUAAGUUGCUCUUAAAUGGGUUUACCCUAUGUAGGGGAUGGUCAUGUGAGUAGUAUGGUGGUAGAUAUCCCUAUCUUAUCCUUCCAUUCUUACUUCAGCUUGAAAGUAAUGAUUUCCAAAUAGCUUGUUCAUGAUUGGAGUUGCAUAAAUGUAUGAGUUUCAUGUUCUCCAUAUGUUAUGUAUAUAUUAAAUUUACACUAUGUUAAGCAUGUUUUGAAGAUUCUAAAUUGCAUGAAAAAGGAUUUUUGAUCAAAUUCAUGUUUCCUCAUGUUGAUUGUGCAUCUUGAUAUGAUAACUGUACAUUUAACUUCAUUAGAUAAGGUAAGAAGGAGAAUGUUUGGAGUCACUUUUAAUAUGUGGUGUUUUAAGCCAUGAUUGAUAAUUUGAGUCUCCCUUAAAUGAAAAAUGAUGAGUCUCUUGAAAUUUAUAUGACUUUUAUGAAUUGGCAGUAUGAAUUUAGGUUCACUCUGGAAAAAUGAAGGCAUGUCUAGCUAGUGUCUUUGUGUGCCUAUAAAUUGUAAGAAUUUUCCCCAAUGAUGCAUGUUUAUAGAAGCUAUGUUAUGCUAGCUAUUGAAAUUUUGUUAAAUGACUUUCUAUUGUUGUAAUGUGUAUGGUAUGAUUUACCAUUUUAACUUCACUAGGAAAGAAAUAUGAGCAUUCUUUGGUUAAAAGUUGAGAACUUAUUCUUUUAAAAUGAAUUGACCUUUGUGCAUUGCUUUUGUAUGAACUCAUGAGACAUGUAAGUGUGCUGAGGAGAAGGACAUUCCUUCUUAAACAUAACUAAUCAUGGUAUGGUGGAGUAUGGACUUUAUGGCAUUAUUUUGUUAAUUAAUAAAGAUCCUAGUUGAUCUACUUGACUCAAGUUUACAUGAAUUGAAGUAUGAAUGCUUAUUUGCUUCUUGAGUGAUGUUGAACUUUCCUCUGUGUGACUAAAAGGUUGUUUCAUUAUUAGAUCUUAAUGAGUUAAGAUGUAAAAACAAUGUUAUGAUUAGGAUAAGGAUGUCCUACGAUGAACAUGACAAGAGUUUAUAUGUUUGAAGCAUUAAAGAGUGAAUGAAUAAAUGUUUUGCUUACUUGUGUUGCAAUGAGUACUAAAUGGUUUGAAGUUUGUAAUCCUUCUAUGUUUGGUGCAUUUAUGUCUAUGUGAUAAUGUUAGGAAUGUUGUGAGCUGCUCUAUGGGUCAUUGAAGUCCUUGUUGUGUUUAAAGUGUUCCAAGCGUCAUUCGAGGACGAAUGUUCCCAAGUGGGGGAUAUUGAAAGGACCCUAAAAAUGAAUUAAGGUUAUUAGAGACCCACAUGUGUAUAAAAAGGAUUAAAAUAUGUUUAUUAAAUUUUUUUAAGUAUUAAUGCAUGAUUUUGAAGUCAUUAAGAGGUCAAAUGUUUGAGAACAUCCGAUGAUGUUGGAAAGUUAGCCUUGAGACGUGCAUAUGCAUCUUGGUGUGUCUUGUCAUGUUUUACCUUUUUAUUUGGUUGAAAUUGAUAUGGAAGAUCCUUAACAUGUAUACGAGUGCAUUUCUGUUUGAAACGUCCAGACACGACUCCCAAGGGCCCCAUAAAAGGCUGACAAGGAGGACUAAAGUCUGCCUAGACACUAACUACCUACGACUGCAAAAUGACGGCCUGUAUGUGUGGUGACGCCCCGUCGAUGGCUGGGAGUCAUCCCAAACUUAGCUGGGGAAAGCUCAGGCAAAAGAGAACCCUCAGAACCAAAUGAAUGUUGCCACCUACUGCCCGUCGUUGGGCCUAGUGGGCGUUGAUGGUUGUUCGUCAAUGCAGCGUGUGUCAACUGUUAGGCACACUGUUAAGUGAAAGGGGUAUAUAGAAAAUUCACUCCACGUCCUAAGCUGACCCUAGGUGGUUAUUUUAACUAUUUUUGGUUAUACAAAGUUGGUUAAAAAGAUCAAAACCCCAAACCUAAUUGAUAUUUCAAAAUUUGACUUCCCUCUCAAAAAGAAACCUCUCUAGAAACCUCCAUUGGAGAUGAAGCGCAAGAACACUUGGAGCUUGGAUUCUUCAUGAAUAUUUCAUCGGUUUCUCAUACAAUGAGUUAUGGUUAUCCGCCAUCUUUAUAUAAUCUUCAUCUAAAGAGCUCUUUCCAAUGUUUUCAAUGAGAAUUCUAUGUUCAAACCUUUUAUCUUUGAAUCUACCCUUUGGAAUCAUUAUCCAAACGAUUUCAAAAGCAUGCUUAAUAUGAAUUUAUGAUUAUAUACUAAUUUUCAUUUUGAAUUCAAUCCAAUUUAAUGAUGAACUUAUGUUCCCUUAAAUUCUCAAGUUAGCCUAUAUUAAGGGCAUUCUGAUCAUGACUUUAUGUUGAUUGAAUUGUGAUUCUAGCAUGUUGAAUUACUUAUAUCUACUGUAUUUUACGUGUAUUAAUGGUCAAUUAUUUGUAAUUUAUCAAUCUGGAUCAAGGUUGAAGAAUUGGUACGGAUUGAUCUAUGUGGUUCUACUUUUAUAGAUUACUAGAGUAGUGAAUUGAAUGUGAUUUUGAUUCUAUGGUAAUUGAAGCAUGAUUUUGAUUAUGUCAUGAUAUCUUUAGAUACUGCCUUUUAUUGGUAUUAUAUUUGAAUUAUGAGUAUUUAUCAUUGAUGAUCAAAGCAAGGGAUAUUAGGUAAGGUUGCUCUAUUCAUGUACUUUUCUAUAGUAUUUCUAGUAGAAUUGGCCUUGCAUGACAUUGUGUGGUAUGGUCCACUUAUGGAGGCGGCGUUUACUUUAUUGUCAAUCCUUAUGUGAUGUGAUAAUGUACUUGAAGGCAAUUGUAUUUUGAAUGAGUGGUGAUGAUGAUCACUCAGUGUGAAGAAUAUGCCUAGUAUUUCAUUCUAGUUAUGAUCUACGUUGUGUGGCUAAUGUUAUAAGCAUGUGAGUGACUAUGUUAGGGUUAGGUUUAGAUGCUUCCAUUGAUGAUUUAUAUUUGUUAAUGACCACCUUACCUAUGUACCCCUACAUGAAGGUGUGAUUAGCUAAUGUUAGGAGUCUUGAAUGUAAAGGUUGAAGUUGUCUUGCCUCCUAUGCUAUAUGUCUUGUGUGGCCAAUGCUUGAAUGUACAUCGUGGUCUUUAGAGAAUGGCUGCCUCAAUGUGUUGUUGAUAGCCAUUAUAUGAUCAUGUUGACCAAUGUGCAGACACUUACCCCUCAUGUACGCUCACAAGUAGUAUAGGUUCACGGUGUCUAAUGAAAGGGUAUUCUAAUACGCACUUGUGUCUAGUACUAUGCAUGUAAAAUAUAUGUCUGUGGAGUAUGUUAUGUAUCCCUUAACUAGGAUGACUUGAUAGGUGUACUAGUAUGGAUGAGGGUAUGAGCUCUUGUCUAUGCAUUGCACAUGUGUACCUUGAUAGGAUAGUUUCUAGGUUUUUUAUACAUGUACAUAAAUAUGAAUGCAUGAGCAUGUUAUGAAUAUGACAUGUAUGUUAUGAUGUCAAGUAUAUGCUAUGAUAAAAUAUGAAUAUUUAUAGUGUCUAAAUGUGUUUAUAUGAAAGUAUUGUUCAUAUAGUUACACUUAUACACUUAUGCAUGAAUGAAAUGAAGUAUGAACAUGUUUCGUCUAAGGGUGUUUAUGUGAAAGGUUUGCUCACAUAUAUGUAUACACACAUGAAAACAUGUUCAUUAUGCAUGCAUGAUGAUAUAGUCAAUAGAGGGGCUCUUGAAAGGUGUUAUUAAGUGUCGCUAAACUAGAUGGUGCUUGAAUAUGCUAUGUCCAUGUGAAAGAUAUUCUCACAUGAUAUAGGCUGAGGAAAGUAUUUUCUCAUCUCUAACCUAUAAGCUAAGCAUAUGGGGAGUCAAUCUUACAAUAAACCACAUUUUGCCUGAAUACAAGGUGUAAUUUGACUAAUAUAACUCUACUAUAGCAAAACUAUUAAAAGUCUACAUAACUUCUCAAUUGAACAAAAUGGAACAAUUAUUAAGGGUAGAAUUGAAAAAAAAAGACUAAUUAUUUUUUUAUUAUUUAAACUAACAAUUAAUCCUGAACAUUUAUUUUUAGUAUACCUGUCAAACAAUUAUGAACGAGGGAGUAUAUACUAACUAUUCGUACAUUAAAUUUAGUAGUGAUUAAUGGUAAUUGUAUAUUUCAUAAUCCAAUAGUUUUAUCAAAUCCUUUAAAAGUAAAAUUUAAAAUUAUUUACGGUCCUUACUAUCGAUAGAUGUCAAUUAGCAGCUAAUUAUUAAAUAUGAUUCAGAAAUAGAAGAUCAAUUUUGCGUCACCCAACUAAAUAAUAAUAUAUACCAGCUUAAUAAAACCCACUAUUUACUAAAAUAAAAAAGAAUGAACAGCACUCAAAGUUAAAGAUUUACCAUCAACACUUGCAACAUUGUAAUUAUAAAUAAAUAUCUUUCCAUUAUUAUGUAACGACCUGCUUAGUCGUUUUGAGCAGCAGAUUUUAUUUCGGGAAAAACAGGCUGAGACGACAGAACCCACGACAGAACGUCAUGGGCACGACAGACUGUCGAGGGUGUCUCGUCCCAAAACACUUAGAAAUUCUGAAAUUGGGUACUGAAAAUCGACUCUCUGAACUUCGUAACGGAAUGGCAGGACGGACCGUCACGGGUGUGACGGACCGUCACGGGUGUGACGGACCGUCAUAGACCCUUGGUGGAAAUUUGGGUCUCUGAACUUUGCGACGACCUGCAGGACGGACCAUCGCAGGCACGACGGCCCGUCACAGGUUGCGCAAUCCCAGUCCGGGUCGGAUUUCUUUAUACGUCUUAAGGGACGUUUUUUACUAUUCCGGCUUUAAUUAUAAGAUUAGUGGGUUAAUGUUAAUAAGUCUAAUUACUUGGGGGUUAAAAGAGGUAACUUUAAGUUAAUUAGUGGGUUAUUAUUGCCAUCUUUUACACUUUAUUAUAUGUUAAUUAGGGUAAAAGAAAGAGGGUUUGAAUACGAAAAAUAGAAAGAACAAAGAGAAAAAAGAAAAAGAAAGAGAACAAGUAGAGAGAGAGAGAAACGAAGAGGAUAGCAAGGAUUUUGAGAAGAUAGCUUGUUGAUCGCAAUUCUUCGGUGGAGGUAGAUUAUGGUUUUCAUGCUUUCAUAGUAAACUCUUAAUAGAGAAUGAUAUGUAUUGGUAGUAUUGUAAACCCUGCUAUGUGCUUAAUUGUAUGCAUGCAUGAACGUGAUUAUAUAAUUGUGAUUAUAUUAAGCAUGAUGAAGUUAUUAAAUCCCAAAUCUUGAUAAAAACCUAAUCUCUUUUUAAUGAUGAUGCCUUGGUAAGGGAGAAGGCUUGAUGAACUAAAGUAAUGAGAUUGAUGAUGCCUUGGUAAGAAAGAAGGCUUGAUGAAUUGAUGGAAGGAGAUUUAGGGGAUCGGGUGUCACGAACCGACACGUAGAUUUAGGGGAUCGGGUGUCACGAACCGACACGUAGAUUUAGGGGCUCGGGUGUCACGAACCGACACGUAGAAUUAGGGGAUCGGGUGUCACGAACUGACACGUAGAAUUAGGGGAUCGGGUGUCACGAACCGACACGUAGAAUUAGGGGAUCGGGUGUCACUAACCGACACGUAGAAUUAGGGGAUCGGGUGUCACGAACCGACACGUAGAAUUAGGGGAUCGGGUGUCACGAACCGACACGUAGAAUUAGGGAAUCGGGUGUCACGAACUGACACGUAGAUUUAGGGGAUCGGGUGUCACGAACCGACAUGUAGAUUUAGGGGAUCGGAGUGUCACGUACCGACACAAGAGGAUUAAUGAAUAUGAGGGAUCGGAGUGUCACGUACCGACACAAGAGGAUUAAUGAAUAUGAGGGAGCGGAGUGUCACGUACCGACACAAGAGGAUUAAUGAAUAUGAGGGAGCGGAGUGUCACGUACCGACACAAGAGAAAUAAAGAUAAUGAAUCUUGAAAGAUGUUAAUAUACUCAAUCUAAUGAACAUGAUUCCCAAAUGAGUAUGGUAUCGAGGCUUGAGUCCUCAUGUGUGAACUUGGCGGUAAUUGUUAAUGAUAUAGUAUUUGUUGUUGCUACAUGUUGAGUAUCAUAGUUGAUUUCAUGAUAUUACUUGGUAUAUAUUGAUUUCUAUUUUGAGUUGGUCGAUGAUAUCUACUCAGUACCCGUGUUUUGUACUGACCCCUACUUUUAUGUUCUCUUCUUGUUUAUUUGUGGAGUGCAGCAAACGUGUCAUCGUCUUCAACUCAACAGUAAUUCAAGCCAGUCUUGCUACAUCGGAAAUUCAGGGUGAGCUAAUGCUUCUAGCUUGGACUGGAUCUUCUUCUUCAAGUCUUGAUGCCUUGAACUUCCGGCAUGGACUAGCUCCUUAUGUAUUGUUAGCUUUUAGAAUACUCUUAGUCUAGUCGUUUGAUCGUAGAUGUUCUUGUGAUGAUGACUUCCAGAUUUUGGGGAAUAAUAGAUGUUGAAUUUUAGAAGUUAAUGAAUUGGUCUUUAUUUAAUGAUUUUAAGUCUUCCGCAUUACUUUCUGUUGAUAUUAUAUUGAAAUGUUAAGGUUAGAUUGGUUGGUUCGCUCACAUAGGAGGGUAAGUGUGGGUGCAGUCGCGGCCCGAUUUGGGUCAUUACAUAUUAGCUACAAGUCUUAUUUUCAUUACAAUAUUUCGCUUCUCCUUUCUUUGAUUCCCAAUGGGAUGACUCAUAUUAACCUUACAAUGGACUUCGCUUCAAUAGCAAUGAUUGGGCCGGGGUGAUCGGUAGAGUACAGAAGAUCAACUCGAACAUGGCAUGACUCAUUUUUAACAUUUUUCAAAACAUAUCUUUGUUUUACCUGAUUUGGAUCAAUAAAGUUCCCUCAUAUGCCGAUUUUACGCAUCUCAACUAUUUCACCCUUCUUAACCACAAGCGAUUUUUACCUGACAUAAAAAAAGUUAUCUAAAUAUGACUUUUUUUUCAUCCUAUUCUGGUAUUACACUCAACUUCGCUAUCUUCUUCCCUCUCCUCCCACUUCUACUACCACCACCGUCCACUGCUUUCCUUGUUACUCUAUCACAAUUGGUUUCUUGAGGAAAUACAAACACUUUAUUACUACGACUAGUUCUCUUCAAUACAGACUAGCCUUCACAGCUAAUGCUGCCAUUUCUCGGCUCUCAAGUCUACUUCUUAGCCUCUUCGAAAGCAUAGCUAAAAAAAACUGACCCAAUUAAAGCUCUUCUUCUGUAUUUAUCGCCGAAACCAUAUAUCUAAAUUUCAUUUCAUCGGAGUUACAGAUGAAAAUAGUAGGAUCUUUUUGUAAAAGAUACCAAGCUUUUAUUGGAUAAGAAAACUCUUGUAAUCUUCCGUCUUGCAGUAUUAUUUUCGCUGUCACAACAGAUGUAGAUUCAGAGGAAUUGCAUAUAUACAUUUCCAAUUUAUUGUGCUAAAAAUUGUAUUUCGCGAUAUGAUUCGUUGGAUUUGGUUAGUUGAUUUAUGUUAUUAUAAAGUAGAGAUAAAUUUAAUUUUAUAAGAAGAAUAAAAGGGAUAGAGGCACAAGUUGGAGAGAAGUGUAUAAACAGGAGGUGAGAAUGGAUUGAGUAAAUAGACUUCUUUCGUUCCAAAAAGAAUGAUAUCUUUUAAUUUGGAAUGAAGUUUUAAAAAAAAAUUAAUCUUGUGAUUUUAAAUUAAAGUUAUGUCAAAUAUAUCAAAAUAUCGUAUAAUUUUUGCAACUUAAAUAUAUCACAUGAAAAAUUAAAAUUUAUAUAUUAUAAAAAAAGAAAAAUAUCAUUCUUUUUUAAAAUAAACUAAAAAAAAAUAAAAUCGUUCUUUUUAAUAUGGCGAGAAACUUAAAGCCACUGCAAUUUUGUAACUUACAAAAAUUGUAACAAUGGGACAAAAUAAUAAUCAAUAUUUGCUUCUUUCCCGUUUAAAUUUUAGAGUGAUUAUUUUAUUAUAAUAUUUAUAUCGAUCAAUUCUUAAAUUUUUUAUAUAUUUUUUAUUUUCACUCCAUAAAAUUCAUUUUUUAAUUUUUUAGAACAAUUAAAAAAGUCGUAUAAAUAAAUUUAAACAAAGAAAAUAAUAAUUUAACAGGCUUACGAUAUCCUCUUGGACAUGUAAUUCAACUAUUUAGUUUAUUUUAACUUUUCCACUUUCAGUUUUACAUGUUCCUUCAAUAACGAUAAUAUAUCGACAAAAGUAUUUUAUUAUAAUAUUUAAUCAUAAAUUUGAAAAAUAUCUAAUUAUCCGAAUACACAUUAUCUUCUGUGUACUUUUAAUGAGAUUUUACUUGACGUUAAUUUUUUGUAAUUGACAUUAAUGGGCAGCGCCUUGCCAACCUGUAAAAUAAUUAAGUACUUUAAUUUGUUAAAUUUGUUGUUAAAUUAGAUUAGUAAAUUAAAAUAGACGAAGUAUAAAAUAAUAGUUGAUUCACAAUCAAAUAUUUCUAUAAAUUUAGUAAUAUAUAUUGAAUUUUCGUAAACAUGUUGCUUUUUUUUUAAGUCUGCCCUUGGUUUUCCAUAUUUUUUGUAAGUUAUUGUUUUAAAGUCCCUUUAAGAACAAAUGACGUUUUUAUGUUUAAAAAUUGUAUAUCUAAAAGUACUUUGUGGCUACAAAUGGGACAAUCAAUCUAUUGUUGUAUUUGAAGCACAAGAUUCCAAAUGGUAAUUCCCCCAAAAUGGGGAUUCCAGAUUCCAAUUAUUUCAACUAAUAACAUGAAUCCAUUCGUAAACUUCUUCAAUUACCAUCUACAAAUGUUUAAAGGUUAAUAAUAUAAGAAUAAAGUAGGCAUUUGAAAAACUUAAUUAAGAUAAAAGGAGACUGAGACAUAUCUAAGAUUUUCAGAUGACAGGUGUGUUAUUAUGAAAUUAUUGAUUAAUUUAACAUUUAGGUUCUUAUGACUAAAAAGUAUUAAUAUUUUAAAAUUAGAGAAAAAUAAAAUAUUCAAAUUUCUAGCCUCACUUAGCGAAGUUCAACAAGUCAUCUUCGCAUGACAUUAUAUGAUACUUCUAAGUGUGAGUUAACACAUCAAUGUAUAAAUAUUUUUUGAAAAAGAUCAUACUACUAUAAAUGAUAUUUCAUGAGGGAAACAUGGGUUCAUGAGAAGCGAUGAUUCCCUCCUGACUAUGCCUCUACAAGGAGCUAAUGUUGACAGAUAUAAAUGAUUUUCACUAUAUUUAGAAAGGUGGAAAUUACCAAUCCACAAAUUAAUGUGUAUGUUUCGGUUCAGAAAAAAGGUUUGGACGUGAAGAGAGUAUUAUCGAAGAGAAAAAUACUAAUUAUAUUAGUAAGAGAUAAGAUUUUUUGAGUUAUAAUACAACUUAAACAAAUUUUCUUUCUUUAAGACAACUAUUUUUUAAGUGUAAAUAAAGCUAAAAACCUUAUUAAGUUGACAUAGAAGAUGCUAUUUUAUUUCAUGCAUUCAACUCACAUUCAAAAAAAUAACCCUCUUCUAAUUUCAUAUUAAAAUUUUGAUUAAUCUAACGAUUUAUUAAAAAAUAUCAAUCUUCAUGCAUGUAUCUACAAAUUUAUCGAUAUGCAUGCAUCUAGUAUUCGAUGUGUACAAGGAGACAAAUGAAGAAACGUACAAUUCAAGACUUGAUAAGUCAGCUCCAUUUUCUAAUUAUUGUUACUUUAAGUUAAGCGAUUGCAUAUUUUGUUAUUUUAAUAAUAAUAAAAACUUCUCUUUCCACAAUACAUAUGAGAGUGCAAAUCAAUUUAAUAUAAAGGUGGACAAAAUUGAUAAUAAUUAAUAUGUUUGAUAAUUACUACUUCCAAAUCCUAAUAUAUUUGGUUUUAACAUAAAAUUUGUUAUUCUUACAAUAACCUGUAUUUAUAAGGUUAAUAAACAGAAACAGAAAUAAGAUGAAGCAGAAAAAAUAUAAAAUACAAUAAUUAAUCUGAGUCCACAGAAACUACUGUGUGUCCAUAAGAAAUUUAAUCCCCUCACUGUACCCAAGGCUAUGGAUUAAUUUCUCCCAAGAUAAAAUGGAUUAAACCUGUUAAAGAAAUAGUGGUACCUCAAACUUCCUUAACUUCAACGAACUUAAGAACAGCAACAAGUCACACAGAUUCAGUCGAUCGACACUUUGAUUUUAUUUGAGAGAAAAAUAAAUGCAGAGAUAUAAAUAUUUUCAGUGUUUGAAAAAUCAAAAAUUGACUUCCUUUUGUAGCCAUUUUCAGCAAGGAACAUAUCUGUUCAGUGAAAUCUGUUUAGACCCAUUUUAUCUAGAAAGUUGUGUCUUUUGGAAAAAAUAACAAUUUUUCGAAAAAAUGUGUCUGUUAGGAAAAUACCUACUUUUUGGAAAGUAACGACUUUUCAGAAAAGUAACGACAUUUCGGAAUGUUACCGUUACCCACAAAUUUAUAAGAAAUAAUAUUAACACGAUUUAUUUGAUUUAACAAAAACUGAUUAAAUAAAUUUUGUCCAAAAAAUUUAUCAAUUAAUCACAUCUUUUGCCAACUCCAAAUUUAAAGCAAAAGCCGCGAGCGACAACGACGACGGCGCGAGGGGCAUAUUCUUCUUAGCUCUUUUAAGAAGUAAUGAAAGUGUUUCCUUCUAUAAGGACAAAAAUUUCCAUUUCUUUUGCCGAUGUGGGAGAAAUGACUUUUCAUUUGCACUUUGCAAAUGACUUUUCAUUUUCCCUCCAAAGUAGUUCCCUCACUUUUCAUAUUCUCUCUUUUCUUUUCCCAUUCACAGUUGCUAAAACACAACAAUCCUCCACAUGAAUGGGGAAGGCUAUUGUUAAAACAUAUGCAUGAAAAACUAGUGUGUCUUGUAGGUAAAGGUUAAUCGCAUCUGGAUAAGUAGGUUUUCCUUUAAACUUUCCGUAGUGAACAUAUAUCGGAAAUACUCGGUCAAUCGGUAGAUUUGAUAUCUUUGAACCGUCGAGCUUUGGUGUGUACCUAGACAACAUAUGUCACACAAUCAACCCUUGAACUGUUCGUAGUUCUCAUUGUUUUGUUCGUUUCAGCCAUGAACACAUCUUGGAUAGUAAGUGCUUAAAGAACUGGCCUUACCGGAUUCUCCUUGAAGCGGCUUACACUUCACACUUACAUAGGUGAUUUCUAAAUGUGUUAUCACAUAGAUACACCAUUUCAUAUUCCCUGUAUCAAACUUAGAAACCAUUAAAAAGUCCUUAUGUCUUUAUCCUAGUUACUAAACAUUGUCUCAUCAUGAGAAUGGACCAUAAAAUAAUAAUAAUAAUUUUUUUUCCUUUGACAAUGUUGAACCGUCAUCAAUGACUUUGUUUUAUCUCCUUGAACCUAGAUCUUGGGAUCUCCAAUCUUCUAGGUAGAGUUACCGCCACGAUGACUUAUUCUCGGUCAUAGUCUCAUUCCCGUCGAUGAUUUCUCAACUCCCUCUCUAUUUAGGCCUUUUGUAAGUGGAUCCGACACAUUAUCUUUUGACUUCACAUAGUAAAUUGUGAUAAUUCCACUAGAGAGUAGUUAUCUCACAAAGUUAUGUCUUCGUCUUAUGUGACGAGACUUGCCGUUAUACAUAAUGCUUCCAGCCCUUCCUAUUGCAGCUUGACUAUCACAAUAUAUGCAUAUAGGGGCCAUUGGUUUGGGCCAAAAUGGAAUAUCUUCUAAGAAAUUCCGGAGCCAUUCAGCUUCUUCACCUGCCUUGUCUAAAGCAAUGAAUUCAGACUCCAUUGUAGAGCGAGCUAUACAUGUUUGUUUGGAUGAUUUCCAAGAUAUUGCUCCUCCACCAAUAGUAAAAACGUAUCAAUUUGUGAAUUUUGUUUCAGUUUACCCAGUAAUCCAAUUUGAAUCACUAUAUCCUUCAAGAACGGCUGGAUAUCUGUUGUAAUGUAAAGCAUAGUUUUGAGUGUCAUCUAAGUAUCCCAAAACUCUCUUCAUUGCCAACCAAUGAUUAUGAUUAGGAUAACUUGUGUAUCGACUCAGUUUACUGAUAGCGCAAGCUAUGUCUGGUCGUGUACAAUUCAUGACAUACAUUAAGCUUCCCAAUACGCUAGCAUAGUCCAAUUGAGACUGACUUUCGCCUUUAUUCUUUGCAAGAUGAAGAUUUACAUCAAUUGGAGUCUUUGCCCUUUUAAAAUUCAAAAAUUUGAAAUUUUCAAGUAUCUUUUGAAUAUAAUGAGUUUGAGACAAUGCUAAACCGUUAAGAGUUUUAAGAAUUCUAAUUCUUAAUAUCACAUUAGCAACUCCUAAAUCUUUCAUAUCAAACUUACUAGCAAGCAUACGCUUUGUAGAUUUUAUAUUAGCAAUGUGUUUGCUCAUAAUAAGCAUAUCAUAUACAUAUACGCAUAAAAUAACUUCCUGAUUUGAAGUAUCUUUAAUGUAAACACAUUUAUCACAUUCAUUGAUCUUAAAUCCAUUUGACAACAUGGUUUGAUCAAACUUUGCAUGCCAUUAUUUUGGUGCUUGUUUUAGCCCAUAAAGUGACUUAAUAAGUUUGCACACUUUCUUUUCUUUACCAGGAACUACAAAAUCCUCAGGUUGUUCUAUGUAAAUUUCCUCAUCAAGCUCUCCAUUUAAGAAGGUUAUUUUCACAUCCAUUUGUUGAAUUUCAAGACCGUAUACUGCAGCUAAUGCAAUUAACAUCCGAAUUGAUGUAAUCCUUGUCACUGGCGAAUAUGUGUCAAAAUAAUCAAGACCUUCUUUUUGUCUAAAACCUUUGACAACAAUUCUUGCUUUAUAUUUGUCUAUAGUUCCAUCGUGUUUCAUCUUCCUUUUAAAGAUCCAUUUUGAACCCAAGGGUUUUUUCCCUGGAGGAAGAUCAACCAAUUCCCAAGUAUGAUUGCUUAAGAUUGAUUCAAUUUCACUAUUAACAGUCUCCUUCCAAGAGGUUGAGUCGCUAGACAACAUUGCUUCCUUGAAUGUUUGAGGCUCACUUUCAAGAAGAAAUGUAACAAAAUCUGAUCCAAAUGAAGUAGAUGUCUUUUGACGUUUACUGUGUCUUGGACUUUCUUCAUUUUGUUCAUUCUCUUUUUGUUCUUCUCUGGAUUAUUUAGAUCCCCCACUAGAUGACUCAAGUCUAGUUUUAUACGGAUAGAUAUUUUCAAAAAAUUCAGCACUAUUUGAUUCCAUUAACGUAUUAUAAUAAAUAUCCGGAUGUUCGUACUUAUGAACCAAAAACGAUAUGCCUUACUAUUUGUGGCAUAUCCAAUGAAUACACAAUCCACAGUCUUAGGUCCUAUUUUUACCCUCUUAGGUAUAGGAACUUGGACUUUGGCUAGACACCCCCACACUUUGAAAUAUUUCAAAUUGGGUUUUCUACCUUUCCAUUUCUCAUAAGGAAUUACAUUUGUCUUUGAGUGAGGGACUCUGUUAAGUAUCUGAUUUGCUGUAAGGAUAGCUUCCCCCCUCAAGUUCUGUGGUAAACCUAAACUUAUAAGGAAUGCAUUCAUCAUUUCUUUUAAAGUUCGAUUUUUUCUUUCUGCAAUUCCAUUAGAUUGAGGAGUGUAGGGAGCAGUAGUUUGAUGGAUUAUUCCAUUUUCUAAACAUAUUUCUGCAAAUGGAGAUUCAUAUUCUCCACCUCUAUCACUUCUGAUUAUUUUGAUCUUUUUAUCUAACUGAUUUUCAAUUUCAGUUUUAUAUUGCCUAAAUACAACUAUUGUUUCAUCCUUACUAUUUAGCAAUUAGACAUAACGAUAUCUAGUGCAAUUAUCUAUAAAAGUUAUGAAAUACUUUUUUCCACCACGUGAUGGUGUUGACUUCAUGUCACAAAUAUCAGUGUGAAUCAAUCCUAAAGGAUUUGAAUUCCUUUCAACAGAUUUAUAAGAAUGCUUAGCAUACUUAUAUUCAACACAAAUUUGACAUUUUGAUUUAUUUCACUCAAAUUUUGACAAAAUAUUUAAGUUAAUCAGUUUUCGCAAGGUUUUGUUAUUAACGUGUCCCAAACAUUAAUGCCAUAAACAUUUAGACUCAAGCAAGUAAGAAAAAGCAAAAUCUUUAUUCAUAUCAACUACAAUUACAUUGAGUUUGAAAAGUUCAUCACUAAGGUGGCCUUUUCCUACAUACAUAUCAUUUUUGCUUACUACUACUUUAUCAGAAACAAAUACACAUUUAAAUCCAUUCUUGGUCAGAACUGGAAUUGAAACUAAAUUCUUUCUCAAUUCUGGAACAUAUGAGACCCUAUUCAAAGUCACCACCUUGCCUGAUGUAAUCUUUAAUAGGACUUUGCCAGAUCCUUCCACCUUUGCAACAUCGGAGUUUGCCAUAAACAUUUUUUCAUCUGUAAGUGCUGGAGUAUAUGAUGAAAAUAGUUCUUUGUUGGCACAAACAUGGCAUGAGGCACCAGAAUCUAUCCACCAUUCUCUUGGAUUUUCAACCAAGUUACAUUCUGAAAGCAUUGCACAGAGAUCAUCUAUUUCUGCUUUGGAUUCAUCCAAGUUUGCUUGAUCUUUCUUUUUCUUGUCCUUCUUAGGACCCCGACAUUCAUUAGCCUUAUGACCAUGUUUAACACAAUUAAAGCAGUUUCCAUUGAGUUUCUUUUUAGGAGGAUUGCUUUUUGGACCAGAUGCUUUCUUUCUUUUCUUUCAUUUUGUGGAAUCUUCUUCGGCAAAAUUUACUCUAGAUAUUGAUGAAUUACCACGUGACCUCUUUUCUGCAGCCUUAUUAUCCUCUUCGAUUCUCAACCUUGCUAUGAGAUCUUCAACAGUCAUCUCCUUGCGUUUGUGUUUCAAGUAGUUUUUAAAGUCCUUCCACAAUAGAGGUAACUUUUCAAUAAUUGCAGCCACUUGAAAAGCAUCAUUCACAAUCAAUCCUACAUUAAAGGUUAUGUGAGUAUUAAGGGAAAACUUAAUAUUUCUAACAUAGGCAUUAAAUAAAUUUAUACCUUCAGCAAGGAGAUCAUGGAUUAUGACCUGCAAUUCUUGAACUUGGGUGACGACAGUCUUACUGUCUAUCAUUUUAUAGUCUAGAAAUUUUGCCACAAUGAAUUUCUUCAUUCCAGCAUCUUCUGUUUUGUACUUCUUUUCUAAAGCAUCCCAGAGUUCUUUUGAGGUUUUUGCAUUGGUGUACACAUUGUACAGAUCAUCUUGCAGACCACUCAAAAUAUAAUUUUUACACAAAAAAUCUGAGUGUGUCCAUGAUUCGGUUACCAAGAAUCGUUCAUCAGCCGGAGUUUCAUCUGACAUAACAAGAACAUUCUCAUUGAUGAAUUUCUGCAGACUCAAUGUAGAGAGAUAGAAGAACAUUUUUUGCUGCCAUCUCUUAAAGUCGACUCCAGAAAACUUUGCAGGUUUCUCAGCCGGUGCUAAGACAGCGUUUGAACGAUUAUGUGCAACCGUUGUUGUUGCAGUACUUACUAUUCCAGCAUUUGUUUGACUUGAAUUAGUCAUUUUUUUUCUAUCACAAAUGGAAGCUAAAUUAAGUAUUUAAAAUACUAACAGUAAGGAACAAAUCUUUACACAAACUGUUUCUGAUUUAAAGAUAAAUUUUUUAUGUUCUUUUAAUCGUUAAUCGAAUGAAUUUUAAAAAUUCAAGCAGAGUAGAAAACCAUAAAGGUUUUAAUCUGCUGAAACCUCAAAUAUAGAAACUGAUAAAUUUCUUAACAUUUUUAUUCUUACAAUAUCCUGUAUUUAUAAGGUUAAUAAACAGAAAAAGAAAUAAGAUAAAGCAGAAAAAAUAUAAAAUAAAAGAAUUAAUCCGAGUCCACAGAAAUUAUUGUGUGUCCUUAAGAAAUUUAAUCCCCUCACUGUACCCAAGGUUAUGGAUUAAUCUCUCCAAAUAUAAAACGGAUUAAACCUGUGUCGCGCUCCAUUUUCGCAGAAAACGGGUUUUGUGCACGACCUAACAACUCUUUUGGGAUUUUUGAGUUUGGAGUCGCCACCUCACGAAUUAAGGCGAGUUAGGGCACCUAUCUAACCUAAGUCUAACUAAGGUCAACGAGGCAGAGAUUAGGGUAAGAGUUCAAAUUACCUCGAGGGGAAGGUGUUAGGCAUCCCUCGAGGUCCACAAGUGUGGGUCCCGGUCGUAUCUCAUGCAAUCUAUGUGAGGGUUACAAUUAGCAAUCAAAUUCAUUUCAUUUAUUAAUUUAUUUAAUCUUGCUAGUGAUAACAAAUACAAAACAAUAAAUACUAUUAAUUUGAGCAUGCAAGGCUAGGUGAUAGCAAUAAAUAAACAGUUUAGUUUUUAUUUAAGCAUAUGAAACUAUGUUAUAAACAAAAUUUAUAAAUAUAAAAAAAUUAAUAUGUGCAAAAGUAAAGUUUGAAAAUUGAGCAAGUUUUGAAUAUGAAUUUUUUUAUUUUUUAAAAAAUAUUUGUUUCUUUAUAGGGAUGACGCCACGAUAUUGUUGAUCGCGCUCCUCCACCAUAGAAACAAUUUUUAUUUGAGGUCGGUCUAAAAAUAGCUUAUAUUUUUUGAAAAUGAUUUAAAAGAUUUAGAUUACAUGUAGGCACAUAAAUAUUUACACAUAAUUCUUUUUUAAAUUCAUGGGUAGGUGGUACUUCAGAGGAUGCGUCGGUUUAAAAGUUGGAACUAGACAUCAUAGUUCCUUUGACUUUCCCAAUAACGAUAGGUUAGGAGAUAGUACUUGUAAUUUAUUUCAAAAAUAAUGUCAUAAUCAAUCUAAAAUUUUAAAGGAAAAUUGAAUAAUGACUUUUAAGAAAAUUAUGUUGCAAAACUUUGCAAGUACUAAAACUAGUAGAACAUUAAGGUGGUAAAUUUAUUAAAUGCAAUGGUUUUACGAUGAAAUAUAUUUAAAGCCAAAUAAUUUGUUAAAUGCAUGAAAUGAUUUUAGUAUCAUUAUUAUUUCAAGAAAAUAACAUAUUGCAAGGAAUGCAGAAAUCUUCAUGAAGACAAAUGGGAUUAGUAAUGAAAGGAUUACUAAUCAAAUAAGAUUAACUAAUUUUAGGGGGAGGGCAGAAAUAUGCACAAACGAUUUUUUUUUUUGGAUGUUAAAAGUUAUUUACAAGCCUAUAGACAUGAAUUUCUAGGUGUUUCAAAAAUAAAACAUAUAUACAUGAUUUUGAAUGAUAUGAACAAAUUAAUCCUUAGGCAUGGUUUCUACAUGACAAGACAAUGCUAAAAGUUAUAACAUUGUUAAAAUACCUAAUCAGCCUACUAAAUUAUUAUGAUUUGAUUUUAACAUUAAAAAUUAAUGGAAUCUAGUUUAUAUUUUUUAGACUUAUUAACAGAGCAUCAAACAAUUGAUUGGAUUAUAACACCUACAAACAAUAAUUCUAGGUGGUUAAAAAGAAACCUAUAGGCAUGAUUUCUAAAAGUUUAUAAUGAACAAGUAAGCAUAUAAAUCCCCCUCCCCUAGACGACCCCCCAAAUAAAUUUUAUAUAUAUCAUCUUUAGAGUUACAAUUGUUACAAUAUUCGAAUAAAUAAAAUAGGAAAAUAUAUAUAUAUAUAUAUAUAUAUAUAUGUAUACAUUCAAAUAAACAAAUAAAUCUUUAUUCAAUUAAUCUUCAAGUUUGAAACCUGUCAAAGUAAUCAAAUAACAACACAAGUAAUCCCACUUAUUAGUCAAGGUGAGACAAUAUGCAAUUGUUUAAUGACGAAUUCUAUGUAUAGAAAAAAAAAACAAUAGUUUACACAAAUGUGUGAAUGUAAAGAUAGUGUGAAUGUUAAGAAUACUAACCAGUUAAGCAAAACAAAUUGAUUCAACUUUUACUCGAACAAAGUAGUAAAAUAGCGAAGAAAACACUUGAAUAAUUACCGAAUUCUUAAUGUAUUAUUAGAGUAGCAAGAGAGCAAUGAGAGAAGGGAAAGUGAUGAAAGAAUUUGUGAUUGAGAAUUAUUAAGUGUGUGAGUUUGUGGUAGAGUUAGUGAAUGAGUAGAGAAGAGUCGUGAUUAUAUACUAGGUGAGAGGGCAACAUUAAAGGAAAAGAAUCAAUUUGUGGCAAUUAUAGAGAAAUAUUUCCUUACUAAGAGAAUCAAAUCAAUCAAACAUUACAAAAUAUAAACCAAAUAAAAACAGUCCACAAAUAAUAUAUUUCGCAAAAUAAUCAAUAAAGUAAGGCAGACGAGCCUAAGUAUCCUAUUGUAAGCCAGAAGAGCCUAAAUAUCGUAUUGUAAGGCAGACGAGCCUAAAUGUUGUAUUGUAAGGCAGACGAGCCUAAAUAUCCUAUUGUAAGGCGGAAGAGCCUGAAUGUCGUAUUGUAAGGCAGCCGAGCCUAAACAUCAUAUUUCGAGGCAGAAAAGCCUAAACAUCCUAUUGUAAGGCGGAAGAGCCUAAAUGUCGUAUUGUAAGGCAGACGAGCCUAAACAUCGUAAUGUAAGGCAGAUGAGCCUAAACAUCAUAUUGUAAGGCAUAUCAGCCUAAAUAUCCUAUUGUAAGGCAGAAGAGCCUAAAUGUCGUAUUGUAAGGCAGACGAGCCUAAAUACCUUAUUGUAAGGCGGAAGAGCCUAAAUGUCAUAUUAUAAAGGCGGGAGAGCUUAAAUAUAUAUUCAGUCAAUCGUAGAAAAAAAGUCUAUAAUAGCCUCUUCAAAAAAAAAUUAUCUGAGGAUAGUAUGACUUACAUAGUAGCUCCUAAAUAUGACAGUACGCUCAUAUAUAAUUUAUUCCUGCAUCCAGAGAAAAAUUGUAAAUUCAAAAGGCGAGAGAGGGUCAUACCUGUGCUUGUUUUGCCUUUACAAUUGCAUUCCGUUGUGAUGAAAUUUUUGAGGAUUUCUCAAAAAUUUCUGCCCCAGUUUAGAGUAUAAGAUAUAUACUCGCUUUUUUUUUCAAACAUAUUUAUGAAAAUUUUUGAGGUUUCCUCAAAAAUUCUGUCCCAGUUUAUUAGUGGGGGAAUUUUUAAUCCUGCUUCACUCAAAGAAAAAAUUGUAAGUUCCAAAGAAAGUGAUUGUCUUGUAUUUUGAUAUUAAGGCUUGACUUCGAAUUCAAGUGUCAAUGAUGUUCAUGGAUUGCCAAUUAGUCUAGAUUUGAAUUUGUAAAGAAGUGUUUUGAAUGACCAUGGGAAAGAAAAAAAAUUUAUUUGAUAGAGACCGGACCUAUCAAGGGUUGCCUACGUAUCCAAAAAGGAAAUCAGGUCAAACAUAGUUCAUAAUUACAAGAAAAAUGAAAGGAAUGAGGAAGGCUUUGGGCAUAAGGUCUGAGAACACUAAAGCCAACUUUGAUCAUAAGAGUCUUGUUGAUAUCAAUUUAUCUGAUGUGAUUUAUGCUUCCUUGUCAAGUGCCUAAUGUACAUCUUCGUAAGGUCUCCUUGAACAAUGAAUUUAUUCGUCAUAGAAGGAUUGCAAUUGUUGUUUUGUCGUCCUUGUUGCACUAUAAUUUUUCCUUUUUCAAUCAUAUUCUGAAUCUUAUUUCUCAAUGCUGCACAUUCUUCGGUGUCAUGACCUUGAAUGUUUGAAUGAUAGGCACAAUUUUUGGAUAGAUCAAAGUUUGACGUAGAGUGCUUGGGAAUCCAUCCAUUUAUUGGUCUUAGAAGUCCUUUAGCGCAUAAUCUCUUGAAAAUGUCAGUCAAAGUUUCCCUUAAGGGAGUGAAGACACGAGGUUUCCUCACCUUAUGUUGAGAUACCCGAGAGUUGGAAGGCUCAAGAAUAGCAUGAAUUUGCUCAAUAUUCUGAUUUCCUUGUUCCGGAGGUAUAUAUGUUGAUGCAUCUUUGUUCCUUUCAUCUAAUGAGUCUUUCAGGACUUGAAAAGGAAUUUGUGUAUCAACAAUUCUUCCAGACUGAAUGCCAUAUUCUAACUCUUUUCCAAUUCGAAUUAGACUGUCGAAACUUUGAAUACCAGCAAAGAACAGGGUUUUGUAGUAUAUACCCUCAAGUGAUCUGAUGAGAGUUUGGACCAACUCCUCUUCAUGCGGUAAGUGACGUAUCUUGUAGGCUUCCAUUCUCCAUCGUAUGACAUAUUCCUCAAAAGAUUCAUGACUUAAUUUCUUCAAUUUGAUCAAAUUUAACACUGUAGGGUCAACCUUUGUAUUAAACUUGUAUUGUUCAACAAAGUCUCGAGUCAUGUCUUCCCAUGCGAGCCAUUUGUCAAAGUCUUGUUUGACAUACCAAGUGAAGGCUAUUCCUGAUAAGCUUUAAAUAAAUAACCUCAUUAAGAGAGGUUCAUUGUUUUUUAAGCCAACUAGUCUGCUGCAAAAAUCUUUGAGAUGUGCUAUUGGAUCCCCACAUCCGUCGAACAUGUUUAAUUUUGGAAUUUUAAAUCCUGACGGCAAUUCAACUCCUGGGUGUAGACAUAAAUUUUUAUAUCUUUGGACAUGAGUAGGUAUUGAAUGUAAUCCUCCAUUCACCUUUUCCUCCAAGUCAUGCAUUUUUCGCUGCAGUGCAUCUAGUUUAGACUUCUCUAUUUUGUCAUCUAUUCCCUCAUAUCCGGAAGCAUCAAAGUUGAGGCGUAUUGGAGACCUUUGUUGAGAGAGGGUGUGAGUAGGAAUACGAUGAGGAGAGAUGGUCCAAAAGGUACUUUGUGUUGGACGAGAAGAUGGGUGUUUUUUCGAAGGUUGAACAUAUUUGUCAUGUUGCAGAAUCUUAGUCGAGCCAAUUAUCCAAAUACUAGACAACCAUUAGUCAAUCAAAAACAAAACCGAGUUAUUAUAUAGUGAUCCAAAAUUAUAAUUUCAAAUGAAUGACACAAUAAGCUCAAAGUGGGACAAUUAUAACAGUUAAUAGAAUAAGGUCACAUAAUUGAUUCAAGUUAUACUUUGCCAAUUUGAAGUUUUAGAGUCAAAGAAAGAUUUUAUCUCCAUUUUGACAUAAUGACUUGAUUUAAAAUAUGAUGAUCAAAUUGACACAAAUAUGCAAUUUGUCUAAAGGGUGUUGGGGCUCUUUAGACAAUAGAGUGGCUACUAAUUAUAUGGAUUAACGCCAAGGGUAAAACUACCGAGGGCUUAUGCAACAUGUAUGACCUAACAAGGACUUCUAAGAGUUGUCUUGACGCGGACUUGAAAGGGAUUCUAUGCGAGAGGCUCGUGGUUUCGCGGUUGUAAAACUAUCCGUUACGUCCACGCAUAUGCCGACUCUCUAUAAUGGAUAUUUGAAUAGAAUUGGAGUAGUUGUGAGAGGUGCAAAGGCGCAACAUCACGAGAACAAAAUAAAGAAAAGGAAGAGGGUCCCAAUUGAGGGAAAUAUGAGCGGAAUGUCAGUUAUCAAAGCAAUAAACACUUAGCAUUUAAAUUGAAAAAUGGUAACAUAUAGGCAUUUUAUAAAACAGUAAAUAAAUAAGCACAAAUAAAUAAAAGAAAUUUAAAAAUCACGCAAACAAGGAAAGAGGAUAUAGGAUUAAAUGUAGUAAACAAAUAAGGGAAACGGGAGAAUAUGAAACAUGGUAAUAAACAAAUAAGAAGGGGAAAAAUGGGUGGAACAUGAAAAGAAUACAAUUAAUAAGGCAAUAAAAUGAUAACUAAAUAUGAUAAACACCUAGCAAAUAAUGAAAUAAACAAUAUAAAGUAAACCCCACAUAAAUAAGCAUGAAACACGUAAUGGUAAGAACCUAAUAUCCCCAGCAGAGUCGCCAUUCUGUCGCGACCCAUUUUUCCAAAAAACGGGUUUUGUGCACGACCUAACAACUCUUUUGGGAUUUUUGAGUUUGGAGUCGCCACCUAACGAAUUAAGGCGCGUUAGGGCACCUAUCUAACCUAAGUCUAACUAGGGUCAACGAGCCAGAAAUUAGGGUAAGGGUUCAAAUUACCUCGAGGGGAAGGUGUUAGGCAUCCCUCGAGGUCCACAAGUUUGGGUCCCGGCCGUAUCUCAUGCAAUCUAUGUGAGGGUUACAAUUAGCAAUCAAAGUCACUUCAUUUAUUAAUUUAUUUAAUCUUGCUAGUGUUAACAAAUACAAAACAAUUAAUACUAUUAAUUUGAGCAUGCAAGACUAGGUGAUAGCAAUAAAUAAAUAAUCAAGUUUUGUUUUUAUUUAAGCAUGUGAAACUAUGUUAUAAACAAAAUUUAUAAAUAUCAAACAAUUAAUAUGUGCGAAAGUAAAGUUUGAAAAUUGAGCAAGUUUUUAAUAUGAAUUUUUUUAUUUUUUUAAAAAAUGUUUGUUUCUUUAUAGGGAUGAUGUCACGAUAUUGUUGAUCGCGCUCCUCCACCAUAGAAACAAAUUUGAUUUGAGGUCGGUCUUAAAAUAGCUUAUGUUUUUUUAAAAUGAUUUAAAAGAUUUAGAUUACAUGUAGGCACAUAAAUAUUUACACAUAAAUGCACAUAAUUCUUUUUUAAAUUCAUGGGUAGGUGGUACUUCAGAGGAUGCAUCGAUUUAAAAAUUGGAACUAAACCUCAUAGUUCCUUUGACUUCCCCACUAACGAUAGGUUAGGAGAAAGUACUUGUAAUUUAUUUCAAAAAUAAUGUCAUAAUCAAUCCAAAAUUUCAAAGGAAAAUUGAAUAAUGACUUUUAAUAAAUUAUGUUACAAAACAUUGCAAGUACUAAAACUAGUAGAACAUUAAGCAGGUAAAUUUAUUAAAUGCAAAGGUUUUACGAUGAAAUAUACUUAAAGCCAAAUAAUUUGUUAAAUGCAUGAAAUGAUUUUAGUAUCAUUAUUAUUUCAAGAAAAUAACAUAUUGCAAGGAAUGCGGAAAUCUUCAAGAAGACAAAUGGAAUUACUCAUGAAAGGAUAACUAAUCAAAUAAUAUUAACUUUUUAGGGGGAGGGCACAAAUAUGCACAAAAGAAUUACUUUUUUUUGGAUGUUAAAAGUUAUUUACAAGCCUAUAGACAUGAAUUUCUAAGUGUUUCAAAAAUAAAACAUAUAUACAUGAUUUUGAAUGAUAUGAACAAAUUAAUCCUUAGGCAUGGUUUCUACCUGACAAGACAAUGUUAAAAGUUAUAACAUUGUUAAAACACCUAAUCAGCCUACUAAAUUAUUAUGAUUUGAUUUUAACAUUAAAAAUUAAAGGAAUCUAGUUUAUAUUUUUUAGACUUAUUAACAGAGCAUCAAACAAUUUAUUGGAUUAUAAGACCUACAAAAAAUAAUUCUAGGUGAUUAAAGACAAAACUAUAGGCAUGAUUUCUAAAAAUUUAUAAUAAACAAGUAAGCAUAUAAAUCCCCCUCCCCUAGACGACCCCCCAAAUAAAUUUUAUAUUUAAGAUCUUUAGAGUUACAAUUGUUACAACAUUCGAAUAAAUAAAAUAGGAAAAAAAAAUACAUAUAUAUAUAUAUAUAUAUGUAUACAUUCAAAUAAACAAAUAAACCUUUCUUCAAUUAAUCUUCAACUUGAACUUCAAGUUUGAAACCUGUCAAAGUAAUCAAAUAACUACACAAGUAAUCAUACUUAUUAGUCAAGGUGAGACAAUAUGCAAUUGUUUAAUGACGAACUCUACGUAUAGAAAAAAACAAUAGCUUACACAAAUGUGUGAAUGUAAAGAUAGUGUGAAUGUUAAGAAUACUAACCAGUUAAGCAAAACAAAUUGAUUCAACUUUUACUCGAAUAAAGUAGUAAAAUAGCGAAGAAAACACUUGAAUAAUUACCGAAUUCUUAAUGUAUUGUUAGAGUAGCAAGAGAGCAAUGAGAGAAGGGAGAGUGAUGAGAGAAUUUGUGAUUGAGAGUGAAUAAGUGUGUGAGUUUGUGGUAGAGUGAGUGAAUGAGUAGAGAAGAGUCUUGAUUAUAUAAUAGGUGAGAGGGCAUUAUUAAAGGAAAAGAAUCAAUUUGUGGCAAUUAUGGAGAAAUAUUUCCUUACUAAGAGAAUCAAAUCAAUCAAACAUUACAAAAUAUACACCAAAUAAAAACAGUCCACAAAUAAUAUUUUUUGGCAAAAUAAUCAAUAAAGUACGACACAAUGAAAUAACUAGGAGGAAAUGAUUAUUUUCCCAUAUUAAGUACAAAUAUUAUUAUAUCAAUAUUAUUUACCAUAAGCAAAAUUCUAUCAAAAUCUUAAAAAAAAGGCAGUAACAAUUAAUCGACCAUAACAUUAAAAUUCAAUUUGAUCAGCAUAUAUAUUACCUAAAUAUGGAUCAGUUCCUUGAUUCAAAUUAGAUCACACUUACCAUAUAAACUCAAACAUAUUAGCUAUUAUAAAAUAACCUCACGUAUAUAGAGAAUAAUAAAAAAAAUAAACAAUAGUUGCAAAUAAAAUUCAAAUCAAUAUUUUCAUAAUUACCAAACAAUCAGCACUCAAGCCCAAUUCCUAGAAGUCAAACAAUUUAAUUUGAGUCUCAACACAAGUAAGAUUAUAUUAAUAAAUUAAAGGCAAAAUUAUAAUAUCCGACUUUAAUGAAUGAAAAGGAUUUGAAGCUAGAGCGGAUAAGUACAUAAGAAUCAAUCGAUUUAACUAAGAUAAUAGUCAAUUAAAAAAUUCAAUCAUCACUCCAUAUUAUCAACUUAAGUCAAUAACCGACAAUGAAAAAAAUGAUAUAUUAAUGUUAAUAGAUAGCAAAGCAAAAGUGGCAUUAAAAAAACUUGAUUAAUAUUUUAUCAAAAGUUGAACUUAAACGUUCGAGAAAUCAACUAUCAUAAAGAAAACAUGCGUAAAAAUAGGAAAAUAAAAAGUUCCAAGUUUUAACCCUACAAAUAAUUUUUAUUUACAAAAUAUGCAAGCCUACAAUAAUGAUAAUUUUAUAGUCAUUUAAUCAAUUCAUUUAAGAGUAGUAAUGAAAUAAAAGAGCAUACCUUGACGGAUCGGUUAAGAUCUGUCUUCAAUGAAUUUAAAAACCUCAGAGUUUUACAGGAGUAAGUCAAGUGGAGAAGAGAGGAAGCUCGUAGGAGACAAUGCUUUGCCUGAACUUGCUACCUCCAUGUAGAUGGUUCUUUUUCGAUUAGUUGUUGGUGUUGCCGACUGAAACUAUUGAUGGUCGUUCCAUGGAGGUUGGUUGCUGCUCGCCUGAGAUUGAGAUGCGGCGGCUUGUGGUAGCCUGGAAGCUUCGCUUGGUUACUUGUAUUAUUGUUGUUGGCUGCUUCUCGCGAUGCUGUCCAGCUGCUACAUGGCAGAUCGCUUGGGUGCUGCCAGCGAUGGAGAAAACAAGUUAGAGAAGAAAGCGGAGGAGAAGAGAGAAUAGAGUUGAAGAGAGAAGGGGAGGCGAUUUCUGAAAAGGGAGAAAGAAGAGGUGUCGCUAGAAAGAAUGGGGAGUGAGAGAGAGGCGGGAGAGAGACAGCUGAUGCUAGUGCUCUGUCCGGCAGCCUCCCUCGCUGGAAAAAUGAAGGAGAGGGAGAGAGGCGGCUGGAGAGGGAGGAAGAGGAAGAAGAAUUUUAGGGAUUAGGUUCUUUU
rnacentral:lncRNA from 1 species